AGCAGCUGUCUGCGGUUGCAGCAAGAACUUAGAGACUCCUUGCAAUACAUCAUACCUGCUAAAUCAGUCUAUUGGGACUACGUGUACCAUGUAUGGACUCGCAAAGCAGGUCUUUUAAAAAGUGAUAUCCAAUUUAGUAUAUUUUAAUAGAUUUUUCUUUUUAAUUGUGCCAGUAGUCCAAAUACUUGUUGCCUUGGAGCAUUUAUAAUUUCAUUCCAUUUUUACUUAUUCUUUUUUGCAGCAAAAGUUUUUUUUUAAUUUUCUAUAUUUUUAUUUCUGCAUCAAAUUAAAAAUGAGAUUAAUUCGAAAUAAUUUAUUAUUUAUUAUUUCAAUUUUACUUAUCCUGUAAAAAUAUUAAAGUCUUUCUAAAAAAAUAAAAAGGGAAUAGUACAUUAAAUCCUUUUAUAACGCCUUUUGUGUCAUUACAUUUUCGUAUAUUUAUAAAAAAAAGUAUUAGAUCAGAAAUCAUGUACAGUAGAAUUUAUAGAAGAGAAAAUCAUCAGCUUUGGAAUGAAAUAAUUUAUGUAAGAUUGUAUAAAACAUGAUAUAAGUUUUUUUUUUUUUUUGUAACUGGCUUUGACAUGAUAUAAGUUGGUAAACAAAACUUUUUUGAGCAAUAAUUUCACAUUUACUGAUUUUCUUUUGAAACAAAAUGAUCGAAUGACAAACUCUUGACGAGUUAAUGUUGUCAUAUCAGUUGUUUUAAAUUUUUAGUAUGAACACCUCAAUCACAAAAGAACUUUUUUUUUUUAAAGUUUGGUAAUUCAUAGUGACGUCAGGGGAAGUCUUUAUGCGGCGAAAAUUCGUCGAUGCAUGUAUGGCCAAAUUCAAUAAUGACCAAACGUCAGCUAAAAUAAAAGAUGACCAAUGCGACAAAUAAAAUAAUCCAGAGUGUUGUUCACUUUUGCUGGCCUAUAAACCAAUUAGUCUAACAUUAAGAAUCUCACAAAGUCGGUCAUCUUCUUGAGCACGUUUGAACUUACGUUGGUUAUGGUCAGUUAAUUUAAGACAAACUUCAAAAAGAACUAUAAUAUUUUUGUUACAAACCAUAUUAUAGGAUAAUGGUGACACAAGAGAUACGUUUAAUUAUCAUGGAAAUUGGAAAGUGACAGGUUAUCGGGUCAAAAGCAUAUCUUCUUCCUCGGCAUUUCAUCUGGAUCAAAUAUCCGAAUACCCAUAUCUACUAUAUCUUUUUUAGUAGAUUUAUAUCACACGAAAAAUCUUUAUUCGUUGAGAAUUAAUCAGAUAAUCUGCAACAAAUAGGAAAAAAUACCUUUCCUAUAUAUUUCAAACGCAUUCCGAGUUCGAUUCUCCUGCUAAACGGGGUUGAUCUUCCUGCUGUAAAAACUAAGUCACAUUGUUCUGCUCACCAUGGCUGCGGAUAUGUCUGUAUUAAAACUCGGGAGAGGGUUUGUCGUGAGUUGCAUCUCCCACCUGGAAUUAAGUAUGUGUCUUUAAUAGACUUGGGUUUAACCUUUUUUUCAAAAAAAAAUAUAUUUCAAAAAUACACACACGGCUAUAAAGAAGAAUCACCAUGACAAAAUAAAGAAAUUUAAUUACGUCACAACUUUUCGGUUUUGAUCCUCUUGAUAACGGGAAGCUGACAUGGGCAAUUGCAAUCAUUUCUCCUUUUUUUCUCAAAACGGGUUUCUACUUCCUUGAGUCUAGCUGCUGCUACAACUCUCACAACCUCCUUAACAAUUUCCUUGACAAGAUCAGCUUCAGAGCUGCGAUAAGAGUACACCUUAAGUAAUUCAUAAAAAAUAAUUUCAUAUUGUGGAGGGAAGGAAUUAGAGCGAAUGUGAAUGGAAAGUACCUCUCAUCUUUCAACGACAAACCCAUCUUGCCAGAGAUACACUCCAGUGCUUCCUUCCAUUUCUUGAUCUGAUCUCCACUAGAAGCUUUCGCGAGGUUCCAGAAGUUAUCACCAAACUCACCUGUCUGUCUCCUGACUCUCCUCACGUCACGUGCUCUCACCUUGUAAAAUAUUGGAAUGACUUGGAUCUUUCCUUUGUCCGCUAGUUUCUUCAUCUUUACCAACUCAUCCAUACACCAGCUCGACUCUGCGUACCUAUAAUGAUUACGAUUCUUGUUACUAAUUUUGGUUCAGUGAAGUGGGAGCGUGAAAGAAAUACUAUACAAACCUGGUAGAGAAGAUGGCAAGCGCGAUCCUCGAUUCUUUGAUUCUCUCAAAGAGAUUCUCGAGAUCCUUGCCUCUCUGCUCGUAUUUGUCUACGAAAAGAUUGAUACCAUGCCUUUCAAAAGCAUCAACGAGAUGACUAGCAAAGCUGUAACGCAAUUGCUCUCCCCUCGGUAGUUCAAGAAGACGUGAUGGGCUUCAGUGGCAAAUAACAUUUUCAUCGUUCCACGAUAGCGUAGGAAGUUAAGAACUGACGUUGCUAAGACGUGUGUUUUUCAAAAGCAUAAGAAGUGGCAACAAGCGUGCAUUUUUCUUUUAUCAAACAAACCGAAUAAACGCUCAUAUGUAAUUUGAUAUCAUUUAUCAAAUAUAAUAAGAAGAAAACGGGCGAUCUGUAUAGAUAUGUAAACAAGGGUGGGUUUUACAGUUCUUACAAAACAACAAACUCAUCUAAUAUAAUAUCACAAAAAACAAAGAUGGAAAUAGGUACUUUAAGGAAACGAAUAAAACCUUUGUUUAAAUACGUCCAAACUCCAAAUAUUUUUCUAUAAGGGGGUGGGUGUAUUGGAAUAGGAGGUUUAGUAGAUUUUGGUUAUAAGAUAUGCGCCGUCUUAAUUUAGUAGUUUUAAAUAAACUAAAACUCACAUGCUACGAAAUUUCAAAGGACUGAGGUGGAAACCGUCUUUUUUUGGUAAAAAAAAACUAUGUUAAUAGUAUCCUUGAAUGAAAGUGGUACCUCCAGGAAAUGUAACCUAUGAACAAUACAAAUGGCCAUAUCAAUUAAUGAGUAUAAUCCGCAACAUUUUCAAGAAAUAAUAUUAAAAACUAUGUUAAUUAGUGGAGUUACUCUGAACCCCUAGGUUGAACCUCUAGUUUCACCAACCAAUAAGAUUUCAUUAUUUCAAAUUUGAUAUCUUUUAAAAAAAGAAACAAAAUAUUGGCUAGUUAUAUUAUGUUUUUAAAAUAAAAAAAUAAAAAAAAGAGAUAGUACUAGAAAAAGAAUUAAAAAAAAAAUAUUUUUAACGUCGUCAACGAAACACUAAACCCUAAAUCCUAAUCCCUAAAUCAAAAUCCUAAAUCCUAAACCCUAAACCCUUGGGUAAACCCUAAACCUUUGGGUAAACCCUAAACCCUUGGGUAAACCGUAAACCCUUGGAUAAAUUCUAAACUCUAAAUAAAAAACACUAAAACCCUAAACCCUAAACCCUAAACCCUUGAGUGUUUUAGUGUUUAGUGAUUUUGAUUUAGAGUUUAGGAUUUAUCCUAGAGUUUAGGGUUUACCCAAGGGUUUAGGAUUUAGGGUUUAGGGAUUAGGAUUUAGGGUUUAAUGUUUUGCUGACGAUUUAAAAAAAAAAAAUUUGUAGUUAAUACUUUUUUUAUUUUUUUUUUAUUUUUACCUUUUAAUUUAAAAAACAUAAUAUAAUUUGACGAUAUUUUGUUUCCUUUUUUAAAAAAUAUCGAAUAUGAAAGAACACAAUCCUUAGAUAAAUUUAAUUAGUGUGUCUCACCCCAUCUUCUUUCUUUUACCUGUAAAUUUAUCUUCCUUAAUUUACUAUGAAAAUCAUUUGAAAAUUAUAUUAAUUAAAAAAUUAUACUUGUGGACCGGGAGCUUGUGAUCAAGUGGUAAAGAGAAUAGCUCGGGAUGUCACCAUAUUUCAAAUUCGAUCCACCUGUCAUACGAAACUAAGUCACAUUUUUCUGAUCACCCUACACGGAUACGGGCUACUGCUUUUCGGUCUAUUUGAAUACCCGGGAAAUAAUCUAUCUGUGGGCUGCACCUCCCACCCGGAGAUUAGAUCUAUGACUUUAAAUAGACUCGGAUUUAACUCUUUACUGUUCAAAAAAAAAUUAUACUUGUGUUUUUUUUUGGUAAUAUACCUCAUUUUAAUAUUUAUUUUUUGAUACACAGUAAGGAUUCUCUGUGAAAGGAUGAUUUGCUAAAUCUACUCCAGCAUGUAUUGCGCAGCAGUGAUGCAUAUUAUAUACAGCUUAUCACCGCAUGCACAAAAUUUAAACAUCAGAUCAUAGAAAUAGCACCUUUGUUGGCAUGAAGCCAAUUUGAGAGUCCGAGUCAUAUUAUGUUUUCUAAUUCUUAUCUAAUACUAAACAUGGACUAACAUAUUUUGAAUACCGUAGGUAACCGCUAAUUUGUUUCAAUUUUUUAAAAAUAUGUAAGGAUCUAAAAAACUGAAAAGUUAAGAGUAAUUUCAUUCACAUUGUUACAUCACUCACCUUGCAUAGGAGAAAAUGGUGUCUAUUAUUAAGAUGAGUACUGCUGCGAGUGGCGGCCUUAAAAACAUCAAAAACUGACUAAACAUGUAUUGAACAUGAAAAUAUCUAAUGUCAAAAACAUGAAAAUAUCAUACUAGAAACUGAAUUUUAACUAAUUAUUAUUUUCAGGCAACAAUAUGCGAAUUUGAACUUUAGUAGUGAAACAUUGCCUAUAAUACAAACCACUAAUUUAAAAAAGUUACCCAAACCAUUAACUAUGCCAAAAGAAAACUACACUUUUGUUUUUUUGUAAUACCUCAUUUUGAUAUUUAAAUUUUAAGGAAACACAGAUGGUGAGUAUUAGUGAGAACUCACACGGAAAGGCUCCCCUGUAAGAAGAUUGUUUGCUAUAACAACAUAAUAUAUACAAAAUUAUCUUGUUUUUUUAAUAUAUACAAAAAAUUAUCUUGUUUUUUUAAAAUACCUUAAAAUAUUUUUUGGAUAACAAUACAAUAUAUAUAUAUAUAUGAACUAUUUUAAUUUUAUUUGGGUAAUUUUUUUUAUCAAUGUUAAUUGAAUUAUCUAACUUAAUAAAUUUAUAAAUCGUUUUUAUUUUUGACUAAUUGUUAUUAUAUUAAUUUAUAACCAUCAAUCCAAUCUAAAUUUAUUUAUUAAGGAUAAUAAAAGUUUAAUCAAUAUAAUUUUUAACGUGAGAAGUCAAAUUAAAAAAUUAAUUCGUAAAUAUUAGUAUAAGUACUAAGAUAUUGAUCUGCUGAUGGAAAUGGCCUAAUAUUUCUACAAUCAAUAAUCAAUAAGAUAUCUAUAAAUAUUUUAGUAAAGAUUCAGUUUACAGUCCCGGAUAUUUAUUCACAUUCAUAAAAUAUAGGAGUUAAAUUUAGCAUGAUACGUUUUUUGGUAUUUUUUUCUUAACGUGCUCUCGAUGAUAUCUAUACUAUUAUUUGUGAAGUGAAUUUGCUUAUUUGUCAUGUUCUCUAUGAUUUUAGGCUUAGUCAUUAAACAAUUUUAAUUUUAAUUUUAAUUUGACUGAUUAAAGUUUUAAUAUCUAAUAAAUAAAUGAUAUAAUUCAUUAUUUAACUGAUUACAAACUAAUAUUAUAAAAAUAUCUCAAAAAUAAAUGGAAAACAUUUUUGAAAAAAGAAGAAGAUAAUUCCAUGUAUUUAUUUUGUGUUUAUCUACAUCUUUGUUUCUUAUUUAUUUAUUUUUAUAAUUAGUAUUAUAUAUACACAUAUCAUAAUUAGAUUUAUCAUUAUACUAAAAAUAUUAUAAAUAGUUUUAUACAAAAUAGCAAAAAUUGAUUUAUACUUUUUUGUAAACAUAAUACGUCAUGGCAUAUUUUUAAAAAUUAUUAAAUUUAUUUUAGUAUUAACACUUCAUUCCAGAAUGGAGCUUCUGGUGAAGCCAUGGCUUCUGCCGUGUUUACUCAAUUAUUAUAGGAAGUUUUUCACAAUAUAAUUAUACAUGUAUCAAUAUUCUUAUUUACUUUGACUAAUAUAAUAUGUAAAGCUGAGUUUGGUUUAACAUUCUUGUGCUUUUGAUUUAUUUUGAGAUUUUGUAGGUUAUGCUAAUUCAUAGAAUUUGGUUUAAUGACAUUACUUUAUAUUAACAACUAUAUAUUUGUUUAUUUAAUUAUAUCAUUAUUUAUAAAUUAAUAUAAUAAAAAUUUGUUCAAGAUAACAACAUAUUUACAAGAUAUUAGUGUUGUUAUCCAAAAUAUUUUUUUAAAUUAAUAAAAAUUAAGAAAUUAAGAAAUUGAAAGAUUCAUAAAAAAGUAUAAAUUUAAUGUUUAUUUAAUUUUUUUGAUCUUAAAACUAAUAAUAUAUUUAUUAAUAAAUAUUUAUUAAAUAACUAUGUCCGCAUGUGCGGGCAAAACUCUUAGUAUAUAUAUACAAGAUAUGAGCCUGUUGCAACGCAACGGGUUUUGUUUGAUGUUUUAAUUUGAAAAAAAUCAUAAAAUAAUAAAUAAUUUAUUAUAGUUUUGUGAUUGGUUUUUGCAUAUGUUAUUUGAGAUUUAUUUUAUAAUUAAAACUCGUUUUCACAUAUAAGUUCAAGUUAAUAUUUGUAUUUUAUAAUCAUGGUGCAUAGAUGAAUUGUUAUAAACUUUGUACAAAGGAUUAGAGAAAAUACUACACCUAAACGUUUAAACUGAACACAACCUGAAAUAAGAAAUUGAAUGAAAAGUAAAAAGAAAUUAAAGUCAAAUACACCAAUCGAGUCAAUGACAACAUUAAACAUGAUUUUAUGUACUAAUUUAAUGUUUUAUUAAAUAAGUAUUUAAAGUUUUAUUUUGCUAGGAUUUUUUUUAAAAAGGAAAACAUUCUAUUUUAUAAAUAUCUUUUUUAUUUACAAUAAAAUAAAAAUAAAAAAUAAAAAAUACUCUUUUAUAAUUUUUUUAAAGAUUUUAGAAAAGGAAAAUUAUUUUCGUAUAACCUAUUACGAUUAUCUUCUCGUUAGAAUUUCAGAAAAAAAAAUUACUAUCAAAUAAUUAUUUUUAGUGAUUAAUAUAUAAUUUUAAAAUUACUAUUUUUACAAUUCGUAUUAAUACUAAUUUUACACUUUUUGUCUAUUAAAUAAUUUUUAGUAUCAUGUUCAUCAUCAAAUACUCUCUUAAAAAUAUUAUCAAGUAAAUUUUUACAAUUCUCUUUUGGUUAGGACUUAAAAAUAUGAUACAAAUUUUUUUAUAGGAUUUUUUUAUAAAAAACAAAAACAACUGUCAAAUAUUCUUUUACAGUUUUUUAGGAUAUUAGAAAAGGAAUUGAUAUUAUAUAAUCUUUUACAAUAUAUUUUGUCUAGGAUUUAGAAAAAUAAAAUUUCUAUCAAAUAAUUAAUUUCAUUUAAUAAUAAUUUUUUGAAAGAGUUUUCAUUUUCAAAAUUCGAUUUUUCAAUAUCAUUAAUAUUUUUACAUUUUUUCUUGUUAGUUAGAUAAUUGUUACUAUCAUGUUUAUCAUUAAUGUUUUAAGUAAAAAAUACUGUUAAAUGAAAUUUUACAAUUCUCUCUCGUCAGGAUGUUAAAAAAAAAGAAAAAACUUGAUUGGUUAAGAUUAGAAAAUAAGUUUUUUUAGAAAUCUCUUUUAUUCAGGAUUUUAGGAAAGGAAUAAAUUAUUUUCAGAUAAUGACAGUUUUUAUUGACACAUUCACAAUCUAAUUUUUUUAGUUGACACAUGUCAUAAUUAUAUCAAGUGAAAUAUUUGAAGUUAAUUUUGGUUUAUAUUUUCUUAACACAAAAUUAUUAAAAAGUAAAGUUAGUUAAUUAUAAGAAAAAUAAGAUUACUUUUACAUUUUUAUUUUAUUUAGACUUUUAAAAGGGAAACUAAUUAUUUGAUAAUUAGUUUUUCUUUUACGUACAUUUUUAUACAGCUAUUUUAUUUUUAAUAGAAACAAUUCUGUUAAAUUAUUUAUAUAUUUUCUCUUAUACAUACAAACACAUGUCACAAUAUUAUCAAAUAAUAUUUUGAAAUUAUCUUUUGAUUAGGAUUUUAAAAAAGAAAAUUACUAUUAAAUAAUUUAUAAUUAUUUGUUAAUAAAAUUUGUUUUUCUUAAUAUCUUAGUAUAUAUAUUUUUAAUUAUAAGAUAGAUUAACACAUGUCAUAAUCUUAAAUAUAUAAGUGUCAUGUGUCGCGAUCAUGUUAAUUAGCAAUUUUGAGUAACGAAACUUUAUACAAUAAGAAGAUAUGAUCGUUGGGUGUCUAUUUUAAUAAAUUUAAUACUUAUGAAUUAUUAUUAUUUCAUGCUGCUCGGUGAUCAAUACAUUAUAUACACGUGCAUGUCUAUAGUCAGAUUUUAAUUGGCAUGCAUGGUUAUAUUAAUUACGUUAUUAGCUUAUAUUCUUAUUGUUUUUUAAUUGGUUUAUAGUCGAAUUAUUUUCUUACAAACCUAGCUUCUUCUUAACGUAGAUUGUUAUCGAUAAAAUUCGAAAAAUGAUCCCAAGCUUGCGUGAAUGGCUAAAGCAUAUGGGUACGAGGCUUUUGAUCUCUCUUCUGAUUUAUGUGAUGUAUAUCAUAGUAUUUAUUCGUCUUCAUCUUUGAUUUUUUUUCAGCUUCAAAAGUUUACGGAAAACUAAGAUUUCGAAAAUCACAUGGUACGUAGGGAUAACUAUAUUCGCAAGGGUAUAUUCGCAUGCAUACAACAUUAGCAAAUAAAACAAAACUAUGAUAGUCGCAUGUACUUUCUGUAUACUAUCAAUCACAAUUACAAAAAAUCAAGUAAAAUAUGAAUAUAGAUAGAAAUGUUUUGCUUUAUAUAAAAAGAAUCUUAGGUAUAAUAUAAAUUCCAGAACAAAAAAAAUAAAUAAAUAAGAGAACGUUUUGGUCAUCGUAUUUGAACCCUCCUCCAUUAGUAAUAAAAUAAUGUUAAUAGAAAGUUAUUGCUACCUACAUGAACAAUAUGUUACCACUGUAGAAGCCGGAAAACCGGACUGAUGUAAACGAUAUAACAAAAGCGAAGUUAAGGAAAUAGACGAAUAUAUAAAAACGAAUACGAGGACGAUAAGAAACCGUAUUCGCAAAUAGACAUGGAGGCGAGAUAUGAUCUCUUUCCUUAACUCAAAAUAUUCGCUCCGUUAGUGAGACGGGACUGUACGAAUAUAGAGUCCCAGGAUACAACCAUGGGAGACGAAUCACGCCUCACUCGUGAUGGCCCUAUCGAACUAUAAACUCUACGAAACACUCUCGCAAUAUAGACUUACGCAGAGGGAUUUUUUGCUGUUGGAUUUCGAUCAGGAAAAAAAAAUUCUGAAAUGAAGGAAGAGGAGAGACGAUAUUUUAAAGAGCCGGGGAAGACCCACUUCCCGCAACAGCUGCUGCACGUGGGCGAGAAUCUCGCGGAGAUCGAGGGAAGUUGAGUUCCGAAACUUCUUCCUCAAGACUCUCUCUUAUCUCGUUUUAAAUUUUCGAGAGGAUAACAUGCAUGACGUUUUUUAUUUUUUAGACAAACUACUUGUCGUUUUAAAUAAAAUUGUAUGCUAUUUUUUCCCGAAAUAACUGGCAAAACGUUGAGCUUAACUUGGUCCAAAAAGAAUAGUUCUUAUCGGGCCAAAGGCCCUCCACCCAAGCCCAAGCCCAAGCCCAAGCCCAAGCCCAAGCCCAAGCCCAAGCCCAAGCCGAGCCGGCCGGACGGCGGCGGCGGCGCGCGCGUGGGGAGCUCUCUCUUCCUCUGAGCUGUUUAACCUCUCAUGUCAUGAAAACAUAUAUAUACUCCUCAAAAUCAACUCUCCCAACCAAUGUGGGAUGUUGUUAACUUCAUUUCAUUAAAGCCAACAAGGCUUUUUNNNNNNNNNNNNNNNNNNNNNNNNNNNNNNNNNNNNNNNNNNNNNNNNNNNNNNNNNNNNNNNNNNNNNNNNNNNNNNNNNNNNNNNNNNNNNNNNNNNNNNNNNNNNNNNNNNNNNNNNNNNNNNNNNNNNNNNNNNNNNNNNNNNNNNNNNNNNNNNNNNNNNNNNNNNNNNNNNNNNNNNNNNNNNNNNNNNNNNNNNNNNNNNNNNNNNNNNNNNNNNNNNNNNNNNNNNNNNNNNNNNNNNNNNNNNNNNNNNNNNNNNNNNNNNNNNNNNNNNNNNNNNNNNNNNNNNNNNNNNNNNNNNNNNNNNNNNNNNNNNNNNNNNNNNNNNNNNNNNNNNNNNNNNNNNNNNNNNNNNNNNNNNNNNNNNNNNNNNNNNNNNNNNNNNNNNNNNNNNNNNNNNNNNNNNNNNNNNNNNNNNNNNNNNNNNNNNNNNNNNNNNNNNNNNNNNNNNNNNNNNNNNNNNNNNNNNNNNNNNNNNNNNNNNNNNNNNNNNNNNNNNNNNNNNNNNNNNNNNNNNNNNNNNNNNNNNNNNNNNNNNNNNNNNNNNNNNNNNNNNNNNNNNNNNNNNNNNNNNNNNNNNNNNNNNNNNNNNNNNNNNNNNNNNNNNNNNNNNNNNNNNNNNNNNNNNNNNNNNNNNNNNNNNNNNNNNNNNNNNNNNNNNNNNNNNNNNNNNNNNNNNNNNNNNNNNNNNNNNNNNNNNNNNNNNNNNNNNNNNNNNNNNNNNNNNNNNNNNNNNNNNNNNNNNNNNNNNNNNNNNNNNNNNNNNNNNNNNNNNNNNNNNNNNNNNNNNNNNNNNNNNNNNNNNNNNNNNNNNNNNNNNNNNNNNNNNNNNNNNNNNNNNNNNNNNNNNNNNNNNNNNNNNNNNNNNNNNNNNNNNNNNNNNNNNNNNNNNNNNNNNNNNNNNNNNNNNNNNNNNNNNNNNNNNNNNNNNNNNNNNNNNNNNNNNNNNNNNNNNNNGCCGAGCCGAGCCGGCCGGACGGCGGCGGCGGCGCGCGCGUGGGGAGCUCUCUCUUCCUCUGAGCUGUUUAACCUCUCAUGUCAUGAAGACAUAUAUAUACUCCUCAAAAUCAACUCUCCCAACCAAUGUGAGAUGUUGUUAACUUCAUUUCAUUAAAGCCAACAAGGCUUUUUGUAAAAACCCAUAGGCCCAUUUCAUUUCCACAUUUUGCCAUAUAUUAUUUGAGCCAUUAAGCUUAAUAAUUAGGCCCAACAUGGUUGAAUUUAGACAACCAUGGGAGACGAAUCACGCAUAUACCACAUGCCUAUAUAUUUUGUUAAAAGUUACAUAAAUUAUACUCUCUCUGUUGUCGUUCUAAUAUUUUUUAUUGUUACAUAAAAAAUGUCACUUUAGAAUUUCAAUACAAAUUAUAUUAAUUUUCAGUUGAAAAUUAAUCGCAAAAUACAUUAAUUUUAUAAAAUAUUUUAUUUUUAUCAAAUACUAUUGGUCAAAUAGCUCUUAUUAGUAACACUUUAUAUAUAUUUCAAUUAUUUUCUUAAUAUGUGUUAAAAGUGUUAAAUAUAACACUUAUUAAAAAAAAGAUGGAGUAUAAAUUAUAUGACAAUAUCUAUGAACUACUAUAUAUUGUGCUCGUAACACCAGCAGCAUAAAUUUGAUAGGCAUAUGUAUGUAUUGAAUUGGUAACCCGGCAAUUUCGGAUAAUGCUAAAUAUAUUUUAACAUAUUUAACAUGUUUUUACCUUAUGUUUCUGAUGUAUAAGUUUUGAUUUUGAAUGUUUGACUUAUACAUAUAUGUGAUAUGAUCAGCUUCUUAAAAAAGUUCAUUUGGUGAUGUCAAAUUCUAAAGCUGACAUAUUUUUUAUAACAAAAUUAUAGUUGGUGUUAACAAUAUAAUAUAUCAAUUUAUGGAUAUUGUCAUGUGAUUUAAGUCAUGUAGUUUAAAAUACAUUAAUUUUUUGUGAUCAUGUGGUAGUGUAUUUGUUUGUGUAGAUAACAACCCUUUUUUUUAACCUCAACUAAAGAAAUAAUUUUCUUGUUUUGGAUAUCAACAAAAUUCGAGCAUAGAUUCUCGCAACGGGGCAAGAUUCAGCGAUUCAAGAGGUGGAGUAGACUUUGGCUUCGUGGACAUCGAAGCACAUGAUCAGAUGUCAAAUGGUUCUACUACAUCACAAGAACGUCCAUCUUCUUCUUCCAUGACAUCACAAGAACGUUCAAAUUCUCUACGUUCAAUCAUUAUUCGGUAGAAAUUGGUAAACAUUUCAUGAAAAUCUAUAUGAAAAGCCUAAUAAACGUUUAUUGCGUAACCAUAAACCUCUAUAUAUUUACAUGAAAAUAAAUGUGAAAAUAUUCCAAUAAACUUAGUUUGUUUCCUACAUCUAUUGAUUUGGCAUUAUAUUCCAAGAAAAUCGCUUCUUUACUUACCUUGUUGUCGUCAGAAGUAGAAAACAAAAGAAUAAGAAAUAGAGGUGAUUGAGAUAAUACUCAAAGAAAUCUCUAUUUAGAGUCCAACUUGUUAAUAUUUCUACUUCUAAAUACUAUUACAGAAGAAAGAGUAUAUCAACUCAUCUCUAUUUCUUCUUCUGAAAUAUAAAUCGCUAUUUUUUUCUUUAUAUAUAAAUUAGAAAAAAAACAUCACAUCUAUUGACCAUCUCCGACGGCCACUUAUCCCCUCAUUUUUUGAGUGGUUUUGCACUCCAAUAGUUUUUCAUCUACUCAAAUUUUAAGGGUGGGAGGGGGGACGGGUGGUGAAUAGAGUACAUCCCCGAAUUUGAGAAUGCACUAUUCACCUCCUUAAAAACUUUAAUCCCUACAAAAAUAUAUUUUUGACAAUCACAUGGAUAACUUUUUCUAAUAUCAUAUUUUAGUUCUUAUCGUUAUAUUUUCUUAAAAAUAGUUCGAUUACAAAUUAUUUUAUUAACACUUUUUGUACUAUUUAUAGUUAUAUAUGAUUAUAUAUUAGUAUAUUUCUCAAAAAUGUUUUUAUUUAAUAUGUUACAAAUAGUACAUUUUAUUAGUUUUUGAAAAUUUAGUGAUUAUAGUUAAUUAUUAAUAAUAUUAAGGACUAAAGAGUAAAUUACUAAUUCUUCUUAAAAAAAUUGACAGUGACUUGUUGAAAAUGCCUUUAUAGAAUCAUGUUUUUUUAUUUAUAAUGUAGUCUUUUAACUUUAAAACUUUUAUAAUUAUAACCAAAACAAAUAUCUUACAGUAUUAUAAAACAUAUAAUUACACUUUUUAUUUAUAUAGUAGUCUUUUAAAGAAACUUUAGUUCAAACAAAGUCAUAAUUUUAUGAAAAUACAUUUAAAAAUAUAUAGAGUUAAUUAUCUAAUUUCAUAAAUAAAAGGUAUUUGUUGUAAAGUUCAAAUAGAAUCUUUUGAGAAUAUUUACUUUUUAGAGGUAAAAAUAGAACUAUACAAGAAGUUUCUAAUCACCGGAGAGGAAAUGAGUAAGUCAAAACUUUCACUGAUAAAAAUCCUUAAGACUCUUAAAUCCCAAAUACCUGUUGCAUCAGAAAACAAAGAACCCAAAUUACUCUGUCUCUAUGAUGAUGCUGAUGAAAGCAAGAACCUUGCUCUUAAGGCAGUGAGUUUUGAUUGUUCCUCCACUUGUCUAGCUAAUCGAAUAAAGCCCCCAAUUGAACAACGAAGCAAGGAAGAUGUCAGAGUUUAAAAAAAAAAGCAUGUUAGAGUUUCCGACAGUUGCGACGGACUUGUCUACAUCUUCGACAAGACCAAGUUAUCCAGCCAUGGGAAGACCUCAAAGUCUCCCUUUUUCCAAGUUUCAGCAACAUGUUUAGGCAACAUGACUCCAAAAUCCAAAUAUGUUUUCUUUCCCAGUAUUUUGGAAAGAUCAUGUUACAGGAACAUACAAACUAGUCUGAUAACAUAACUACAAAAGUUUUACCAAAAAAAAACAUAACUACAAAAGGAACAACUGAUGGGUUCAUUGGUUUGCGGAACAAACGAAGAUUUAUUUGUCAUUUUGAAGGAUAUAAGAAGAAGGUGAUUAUCUCAAAGCUCUGACUCAUUUGCUUCUUCGUCACUCAAUUCUUUAUUCUUCACACUUUCUUUUGGUCCUUGUGGCAUUGACUUCAUUCCUUUUUUCCAAAGUUUAGACUUUCCAUUGUGAGCUAGAAUUUAUCUCUCUUAUAGUCUAUAGUUUUUCAUAUACUUGCUGAUUCUAGGGGUUUGCAGCCUUCUCGUUGACUCGCUUGAUCGGUUACGCUUCACCUUACGUCCAAGCUCUCUCCGCCACUUUAACACUCGUCUUCGUUGCGAUCCUGAUGAAGCUCUAUGUCAACUGGUUUCUCGCUAGGGUCGUCGUCGUUGUUGAAUCAGCUUCGGGGUUAACGCCCUGAAGAGAAGCAGAAGCCUUAGUCAAAGGAAUGGAAAGUGUUUCUCUUUGUUGGUAAACUGAGCCUCUCGUCUAGAUUUAGCAACGUGGCGGCUUCAGUUCAGAUCGAUGAGGACGUUGAAAACGGCGGGUAACUGUGGACAAACGGCCUUCUUCGGGGGCCACAGCGGUUACGUCUGCGUUGCUAACGAUGUUGAAUAACGUGGCUUCGACCACCGUGAUGUACAUGAUCUGCAAAGCUGUUCACAGGGAUAUAGCGGAGGAGUUUGCAAAGAGAGUAGGUUAGCUUGCCUUGGUCUCUGUAGCUUACAACAACGACCGAUGAAACAUUAUGAUGAAGAACUAAAGGUUAGUGUUUGUAUGAUAAAGCAAGUUUGUAUACUAAAUCAUCUUCCAUGAACGAUAAACGAUUUCAUUUUUUAUAACAAACAAUAUCAUUACAAGAAUACAUUUCAUCAACAAACUGUAACCCAUCGUCAGAAAAACGAAAAGAGUUUUUCUCAAAAAAAGAAAAGAACGAAAAGAUCCCUGUAACUUUGUCUUUCCCCAUGUACAAAAGAAUCCACAUAAGACAAGAAAAAUGUACUCUUCUAAAAUACCAGAAUGAUAGAUGUACUCUUCUAAAAUAGCAGAAUGUUAUUUUUUCUCUAAAAAAAAAUAAUAUUAGAUUAGAAAUUAGUUAAGUAGAAUUAGUGUAUGAGAGAAAAAAUCAUCAGUUUUGGUGUAGAUUACUGACAAAAUAAAUAUGUCAGAUUGUACACACAUGAUACAAUUUUGUUAAACACCAUUUACAUAGAUUUUUUUUUAAUGAUCCAGUGACAAACUCAUGACUGAAGAGAGUUAGUGCAAUGACAAGAUAUCAGUUGUUUGUUGAAACACCGCUAUCACAAAAGAAAAAUCGUUUGGUAAUUCAUAUUUAACGAUUUGGGAAAGUCUUGCUGCGGCAAAUAAAAAGAACUCCAAAUUAAGUCUGCCAAAAGAAAAAUAAAAAAAAUCCAGGGUGUUGUUAACUUUCUCUGUCUAAAUCAAUUAGUCUAAUAUUUUAAUGUGAAUUAUUAAGAGGUUCUGAAUGGAUAUAUAUAAUACUUUACAAACAUAAGCUCCGAACGUCGGUCAUCUUCCUGAUCACGUUGGAACUAAAGUUGAAUACCGUCAGUGAACUAAAGAUAAACAUUAAAACAAUAAUUUUGCUUCAGACCAUUUAUAGGAUAAUGGUGAGUGAGACAAGAGAAACUUCAAUGAUCAUGAAAAGUGACAGUUUUUUUUCAAAAAAAAAUAAAAGUGACAGGUUCUCAGGUCAAGAGUAUAUCUCUUUCUUACAAAAUCUUUAUUCGUUGAGAAUUAACUAACAACAUAUAGAAGAAAAAAGAACCUUUGAUAUAUACUUUUUAAGAAAACACACACACACAACUAGAAGAAAAGAAGAAUCGACCAUGAAAAAUUACAGAAAUUCAAUUAGGUCACAACUUUUCGGUUUUGGUCCUCUUGAGAUCGGGAAGCUCACAUGUGUAACUAGAGCAUGAUUAUCGCUGGAUAUUUUAGGGUUUCUUAAUUUUUUUUUUCUUUUUUUUUAUUCGAAAAAAAAAAUUAAAUAGUAACCAAUAGUGGGCUGUCACGUGUCAGUGGGGUCCGCGAACAGUACAUAAAACCGAUCCUUAUUUCACCAUUUUUGUCACCGGUUUUAUGGUGAUAUGUGGAGCCUACCACUAACUUUCUGUGUAAAAACUCUUUUAGAAACUAGCGAUGUUGAUGGUCUUACAAUCCUUUCUCCUUUUUCUCUCAGAAUGAGUUUCGUUUUCCUUGAGUACUCUAGCUGUUACUAUAACUCUCACAACCUCCUUAACAAUUUCCUUGAUAAAAUCAGCUUCAGGCCUGCCAUAAGAAUAUACCUCAAGUCAUUCAUAAAAAAGAAUCAUUAAUUUACAGUUUGGUUUAGUACCUCUCGUCUCUCAAGGACAAACCCAUCUUGCCGGAGAUACAUUCCAGUGCUUCCUUCCACUUCUUGAUCUGAUAUCCACUAGAAGCUUUUGCGAGGUUCCAGAAGUUAUCACCAAACUCACCCGUCUGUCUCCGCACGUCACGUGCUCUCACCUUGUAAAAGACUGGACGUUGGAAGAUGGACGAAGCACUUGUCUUCUGCUUCCAUGUUUUUAUCUUUUUUGCCGUGGAAUCAAGACCAGAGAUCUUAUAUCUUGUAAAACACAUCGUGUAAAACCUCAACUUUCAUUUUGAAAUGAUAUUUACCUUUAGCAAAAAAAAAACUAAGUGUUUUCCUGCACCAUCUGCAGUAGUAAAAAAAUUAAAUUUAAAUUACAUUUACAAAUAAAUUUACUAUUAUUUUAGAUUAUAUUAUUUUCUUAAUAAUAUGCUACUAUAAAUUUUGAUUUAAUUGAACAUAAAAUUAAGAUAAAAUAAACAAUUUAGUUUAUUCUAAAUUAUAUUUAUGAAUAGAUAAGUAUAUUUAAAAUUAUAACCAUAUAUAUAUAUUUAUGUAUUUUAAUAAAAUAUAUUAAAUAAACUUGUAUAAAAUUAAUUAAAACUGAUAUAAAAGUUGUAUAAUUACCAAAAUAAAAACUAAAUGAUAUUUAUCAAAUUUGUAGAUAUAUAAAAGAAAUUAAUAAUAUUACGAUUACAACUUUAUAGUUUUUUUUAAAUGUAAAAAGUAAUAAAAUUGUAUAAUUAUAAAAAGGUAGAAAUAUGUAAUAUUUUAAAAUUUUUAAAAUAUUAUUUUAUUAUUUUAUAUCAUAUUUAAAUAGAUUUACUUUAAUGAUGAUGUAUAAUUUACUACCAUGUUUUACAAGUUUACAAAAACUAUAAAUAAACAUUAAGUGUAAUUAUCCAUAUCACAUUUAAUCAUAAGUCAUGUCAUCAUUCUAAUAUGUCAUGUCAUAUUUAUUUAGUGAAAGUGAUUGUAGAGAAGACAUGUGUCAAAAUCACUUUGCAAAUAAUCUAUAGGGGAUUAGAAAAAAAGACACUCUCAAAUAAUAAGAUAGCAAUAUGAGAUAAUUUGAAAAUUACUCCAUUAACAGUUUGAAACUUGAAAAUUACACUUUCUAUUUUAAUUUUAGUUUAGAAAAAAAGACACUCUCAAAUAAUAAGAUAGCAAUAUGAGAUAAUUUGAAAAUUACUCCUUUAACAGUUUGAAACUUGAAAAUUACACUUUCUAUUUUAAUUUUUGAAAACUACACUUUAUUAAACAUGAAUUACAAUAUCUCAAGCAAUUGGAGAAAUGCACAUUUGCAUACGGGGGAGCUUGGAUCACAAGAGAUAACACUGGAAAUGUGAGACAUCAUGCCAGGGAUGCUUUCACGUGCUCACCUACCAAGUUCAUGGCCGGGCUGAGAUGUCUAGAAUGGGUCCUACAGAGUUUGAAAGACCUUCAGUACAAGGAGAUAAUAAUUGGUACGGAAUCACAAGAGCUUAUUGAAGCAGUGAAAAAGCCGUCAAGCUGGCCAAGGUUUCGGGUGAUUCUACAAAGGAUAUCAGUUCUCUGUUCUGAAAUCCAAAGGGUAGCUUUCGAAGCGGAAACAGGGGCGUCAAAUCAAGUAGCAAAGGCAAUUGCCAAAAGUGUGCUCAGAGAUGGAAGGCUGCAAUCUUACCUUGCUUUGGGUGGCCCUGCUUGGUUACAUAAUCGCAUUCUAUUAGAGUCUCCAGUCAAUGAUUCAUAGGUCUUUACAUUAAGAUUGAGUCAUUGUUGGUUACUCGUAUGUUUUCUGUCUUGGUUGUAUUUCCAGAAAAUUUCUUUGGCCUAGUGCCUUUUGAUGUUAAAAAAAACAUGAAUUCACAUUUUUACCAAAAUUAGACAUUUCAAUAAUUGAGAUAUAAUUCAAAAUUAAUAAAAAAUAUAUUAUUAUAAUUAUUUAUGUUUAAGAUAAAUAUGUGUGUUGAGAUAAUAUGUUAUUUUAUUAUUUAAAAUUUUACAAUAACAGAAUAAUAUAAAAUAACAAAUUAUGAUUUGUUUUGAUUUGAUUUUAUCAUGAACUAUUUUCGGAAUAAAAUAUAAACAACAUUAGACACUGAAAUCUGAUUCAUGAAUUAGCAAAUCUCUUAAUGAGAUGAGAGGAAUAAAUUGUGAAACUAGAAGAAAGAAAAAAAUUUUAAAAAUGGAGGAUAAGAGAAGGAGACAUAGUCUUGAGAUUUUUUUAUUUUUUCGAAAUAGUAAAAAGUUUAAUAUAUAUUAAAAAGUUAUUGUGUAGAUACUCUAAAGAUUUUUUUAAAAAUAUUUUUUUUAAAAUCGUUAUUUUAAAUAUAAAAUAAACUAGGAAUUGAGAAAUAUUAAGAUUGGACAGUUUGGUAAAUUUAUAUAUACAUAAGUGUAUUUUCCGAAAAACUAAAACAAUGGUGUAGUUUUCAAAUUAUCAUCUUAAUUGAUUGUAUUUCUCCAAAUUUUCCCUAGCAAUAUAUAUAUCUUAUUAUAACUAAAAAGUACACAAAAAAAAAAAACAGAAGGGUGUGGGGAGAGAGGAGGGCUCGAAUUUGGGUUUUCAGGGCAAAACAAGAGAGAAAGAUCGUGGGAGGAGAAAAUAGUGGUAGAGAAGAUUCUAUGAGAGAUUUAGAGCAGAUUUAGGGUAGAUUUAGUGUAGAUUUAAGAAAGAUAUUAGGACAUAAAAUAAAAUAUGAUUCCACUAUUUUUUAAAAAAAAAUUAAACAUAUAAAUAGUCAUACUUAUGUUUCCAAUAGUUUUCAUAUUUUUUUAUAUUUUUAAAAUUUAGUUAACUAUUUUUCGUAGAACACAAGGAUAAAACAUGUCCAAAAUGACCAAAAAUAUCAAAAGUACUAAAAGGACAAAUAAAAGUUGAGUCUAUUUUUUUCAAUUUUUUCUUGAUUUAAUGGAGAAUUUCAUGUUACCACUUUCAUGGUACCAUUAUUCAUAUUUACCACUACUAAAUGGAAACUUUUAAAAAUAUCUUCUUCAUUAAGUGGCAAAAGACUCUUAUACCCAUGUUCUCUAUAUAUAUAAUAAAUAAUUAUUUAAAUAAAUAACAAAAUUAAAAAAAAUAAAAAAAUAAUUUUUUAUAUGUUUUCGAAUUAUACUUUUUCAAAUUCAAACUUCUUUAUCAAUUUUUUUUGAACUUUUUUUUCAAAAUUUCUUUUUGAAAAUCGAAAAUUAUGUUUUAAACUAUUUUUUUAAAUAUUUUUAAGUAUUUAUUUAUAUAUUUAUUAGAAUCCUAAAUUUCACAUUCCAAAAACUUUACCACACCUCUCAACUCUAAACCAUAAGUCUAAAUUAGUUAACCCUAUGGAUAAAAUAUCUCUUAUCCUUCAGUAAAAGUGAGGGUAAAACUGUAAAAAUGGUUAGUGUAAACAUGAAAAGUGUUAUUAUGAAUGUGAUAUUUGUGGCAAUUUUUCUUGAUUUAAAUAUGAUCAUAUGACAACCAUUUAACAGACAAUUCACAAUUUGACAUAAAGUUACAAAUUUAUUCAUUUGUAAGAUCUAAAUCAAUAUAAAAAAAAUAUGGUUAAGACUAUCAAAAACAUAUUCUAUUUUUCGCGAACUUAAUCUUUCUCACAGAGACAAGCACUCUAUGUUGAAAGUAAAUUUGAUUUGGAUUAUAUUAUUGGACUAAUAAUAUGUCUUAUCCCAAACUUAACCCAAGUUUUAAAUAAGUCUUUCACCUCUUUAAGAUAAACAAUCUAGACACUUUAAUAGAAUUUUCUAAAUUUAAGAUUAAAAUAUAUGAGAUAUUUUGUAUUUUAGAGAAUAUAAAUACCUUUACUCCCUUUUUCCAUUUUGUAUCAUCCAUGUUUGUAAGAAUCAUCCAAUUAAUAAAAAUCAUCUUUAAGUACUACAAAGCUUUGUUCUUCCCAAAGUUGUUUUCUAUUAAAACACCUAAAUUCUUUUUCCUUCGCUACAAUUUUUUUUUACUUCAACAAAGUGGUAUCAGAACUACAACAUCCUUUUGAAGAUGGCAAAUAGUGAUAUUCCCAUCCAAGUUUCAUUUCUCACUAAAAGCAACUAUGACAUUUUGAGUCUUAGGAAGAUGACUAUUUUAGGAGCACAUGAUGUGUAGGAGAUAGAAGAGAAAUGUUUCAUUGAACCGGAGAAUGAUGGUGGUCUAUCUCAAACUCAAAAGAUCGGUUUGAGAAACUUAGGAAAGAAAGACAAGAAGGCUAUAUGUCUAAUCUAUCAAAGAUUAGAUGAAGAUACAUUUGAGAAGGUUGCUGGAACAUAGUCGUCCAAAGAAGCAUGAAAGAAGCUUUGAACCUCUUACAAGGGAGUAGAACAAGUUAAGAAAAUAUGACUUCAAACUCUAAGAGGAGAAUUUGAAGCACUACAAAUGAAGCAAGGAGAGUUCAUCUCAAGUUACUUCUCAAGAGUCUUUUGACAGUUACUAAUAACCUAAAAAGAAAUGGUGAGAAAUUACAUGAAGUGAGAAUCAUGGAGAAAGUUCUUAGAUCAUUGGAUUCAAAAUUCGAGCACAAUGUUACUGUGAUUGAAGAGACAAAAGAAUUGGAGACUAUGAUGAUGGAGCAACUUCUUGGAUCACCACAAGCUUAUGAAGAAAAGAAGAGGAAGAAAGAAGAUAUUGUAGAACAAGUUCCCAAGAUGCAGACUGAUCAAAAGGAAGAAAAUGGCCGAAAUUAUCCAAGAUAUGGUGUCAGUCAUUUCGGAGGACGAGAUCGUAGUGUGAAUUGACGAGGUUGGAGACCAUAUGAAGACAAGUUCAACCAAAGAGGAGAGAAUUCGUCUAGAGGUUAUGGAAGAGGAAAUUCAAAAUCAAGGUACGAAAAUCAAGCAUUAAAUGUUGGAGUUUCGAAAUUUUCGACAUUAUGCUUCUCGAUGCAAAGCUUCAAACAACAACCGAGUUUAAGAGAAAUUCAACUAUGUUGAAGAAAGGAGUAAAAAAGAAUAUAUGUUAUUGAUGGCUUACAAGAAGGAUGAACCAAAUGAGGUUCACAAGUGGUACCUUGAUAGUGGUGUAAGCAACCACAUGUGUGGGAAUAAAGCAUGUUUGAUGAAUCGGUCAAAACCAAUGUGGCUUUGGGAGAUGAAUCGAAGAUGGAAGUGAAAUGUAAAUUAAAUAUUCUCAUCUGUUUGAAGAAUGGAGAUCAUCAAUUCAUUAACAAUGUUUACUACAUUCCAAGCAUGAAGACCAACAUCUUGAGCCUCGGACAACUCUUGGAGAAAGGUUAUGAAAAUCGACUAAAUGAUAAUCGUCUUUCUUUUAAGAGGCAAUGCAAAUAAUCUCAUCACGAAAAUGUCGAUGUCAAGCAAUAGAAUGUUUGUUCUAAACAUUCAAAAUAACAAUGCACGAUGUCUUAAGAUGUGCUACAAGGAAGAGUCUUGGUUUUGGCAUCUUCGGAUCAGGCAUCUCAACUGUGGAAGCUUAGAGAUACUUUCCAGGAAAUAGAUGGUGAAAGGAUUACCUUACAUCAACCAUCCAAAUCAAGUGUGUGAAGGGUGUUUACUUGGAAAGCAAAUCAAGAUGAGUUUUCCAGAUGAGUCAGAGACAAAAGCAAGAAAGCCACUAGAACUAGGCCUGUCCAAUAUGGUAAAACCGAACCAUACCGAACCGAACCGAACCGAAAUAGACAAUAUGGUAUGGUUUUGGUAUAUACCAUAUAAACCUAAUGGAUAUGAUUUUAUAAAAAUCGUAGGAUUUGGAUAUGGUUUGGUUUAUAACCGAUUAAACCGAAUAAACCGAACAAAACCGAUCAAAAGUAAAAACAUGUAAAUAUGUACAUAUUUUAUAACGUCACAUGAAAAAUAUAUUUGUUAUAUAAGUUAUUCUUUUGUUAAUAAUUAUUACCAUAUUUUUAUAGUAAUAAAGAAUCAUAAUUUGAAAAACACUUAAAAUAUAAUUAAAUAACAAUUCAUCGUAACUGAGGAUUUUUAUUUUCUUAGUCUUCUUCUUUUAAUCAUUUUGUUUUCUUUUAUCAUUGAUUAAAUUGAAGUGAAGGUUAUAAAUUUGAUAGGUAAUAACUAGAAAAAAAUCUUCACAAUUUUUUUCUUAUUUAUAAACGAACAGAGUUUCACUCGACGAAGCAUGACUUUGAUGAACACUGAAUAUGGAAGAGUGGAAACAUUUUCUUUCAUAUUUCUCUUUUGUUUUUUAUUUUUAUUUUCAAAAUUUAGCUUUGAUUUUAAUUCUAGAUUUGAUUAUUUCAUUUGAAGGUAUAAGCGUUUUUAUUUUUUUGUUCUUUUAUUUGAAAAUAUAAUAUAUUUUUAAUAAAUGACUGCGAUGACAAUAUGAUUCUAAAAUUUAUAUAAUAUGAUCCCAAACUAAAUAAUUAUGUUUUCGUAUAAAACCGAAUAAACCAAAAACCGGCGGUAUAUAAACCGAACCGAACCGAAGUAAAUAUGGAUUUAGAAUGGUAGUUAUAUUUUACUAACCGAAAUACCAAAAUACCAAAAAACCGAAAAAACCGAACCGAAACCGAACUGAUAUCCGGAUUGAACACCCCUAACUAGAACUCAUACCUAUAGAAUAUAGAUGUAUUUGGCCUGAUCAAACCAAGUUCACUCGGUAAGAGUAACUACUUCCUUCUCUUUAAUGAUGAUUUUCAAGAAAAAACAUGGAUUUAUUUUUAAAAAAAAAAUUAGAAGUGUUUGAAAAUUUCAAAAAAAAAAGGCCAUGUUGAGAAGGAAAGUAGUUUUAAAAUUCAUUCCGUGAGAUCUAGUUGAGGAGGAAAAUUCUUGUCCAAAUAUUUUCUAAAGUAUUAUGAAAAUAAUGGCAUCCGAAGAAAAUUGAUGGUGCCGAGAACCCCUCAACAAAAUGGAGUAGUAGAAAAGAAGAAUAAGACUAUUUUUGAGAUGCAAGAAGCAUGUUGAAGAGUAAGAGAAAGAAAGUGUGGGCCUAAGAAUCUUUGGGAACCUUGUUCAGGCUCAUGUUUGAGACGAAAAGGAGAGCAAACUAGAUGAUAAAAGUCCGAAGUACAUUUUGCAAACUAGAUAAUAAAAGUCACAAAUACAUUUUUAUUAAAUAUGAUGCUAACUCCAAAGGUCACAAGCUCUUCAAUCCUUGCUUAUAAUUACCUCUACCAGAUUCUUGGAACAAGACACAAAGACAUCUCACAAAGACAUCUCACAUCUUUUCAUGCGCAGUUGUGACCCAAACUCUAUCUAGUUUAGUUACAUCAAAGGCGGCUGCCGAAUAAAAGGGGAAACUUUGCCUGCCAGAUUGCCUUCGGUAACCCUAACCCAGUUAUCAAAAGAAGACGCCAGUUCGGUUUUCAAGAGAGGGGAGCGAGUAGCCGAGAGAUCUUCCAUAUCACAAAUUGACACAGAUGCGAGGGGAGAGACAAGACCUGUUGAUCGUAGCACCGCUGUGAGUAACUGGAAUCAUUCUAAUUCUAAACAACCCGUCUCAGAUACAAUAGACUUGACAUCAGAUAUAUCUUAUUUUCAUCUUUUCCAGAAUAAUACGUAACAUAUCAUAGCGAAGCACUUGAUAUGGUUAUACACUUAAUUUUAGUGUUGUUAUUAUGUAUAUGCAAUCUAAUUCUCUCUAAUAAACUAAUUAAUUUGGUUUCCUUGGUUUUACCGGAUAAAUUAAUGGGCCAGCCUAGAGCUGUCUAUUGGGCAUUGCAUUAAACUAAAAUCGCUUUUGUUACGUAAGCUUUACCACGUCUGAUGAAACAUGAUGAUAAUUAUCAUAAGGAUGAUGAUGAUGAAUUAAAGGUCAGCGUUUGUAUAUCGAAUCAUCUUCCAUGAAAGAUUUCACUUUUUCGUACAAAUAUCCCUUGUAUAAUAAUUGAGAAACAUCACAGCAUUUUUUUUUGUAGCUACGUGUCACUAUAACAAUGAAAUUCAGAUUUUUUUAAGAAAUAGGUUAUUCUCUUAACUUAUAUUAUAUUUUUUAUUAAAUUAACUAUUAAAUUGAUAAAUAGUAUACAAAAGAAUAUUCUCGCACUUUCUUUAAAUAAAAACUACGAAAUUACCUAAUAUGAUUAACGUAUAUAUGACAAUUAAUAAUUAUGAAUGAUAAAUAUUUGAUAAUAAUUUUUGUAUCUUAGAUAUUUGUUGUUUAAUUUUAUAUUAUUAAAAGAUAUUAAACAACCACUUUAACCAUAUAAUAAAAAAAAUACAUUUUUUCUUUUUUUUUGACAUCAAAUACAUUUUUUCUUAUAUAUUAUAUUUUGAUUUUUUUUAAAUGACUAUAAAUUAUUAAAAACAUUAAAUGUCUCACACUAAAAUUUUGUGAUCAAUGGUUUAAUUUUUUUUUGUAAGAACAAGAUACAAAUGAUCAUAAAUCGUAUGAAUAUGAAGUCUCAUUUACUAGACAUUCAUAUUAUAUAUUAAUAUAGUUUAAAAUUAAACUAUCUAACAUAGAAAAAUACUUAAAUAUGAUAAUUUCUAAAUUUGUAUUGAAAAAGUAUUGAAACCUUAAUAUUUUUAUUUUGAAAUUUGCAUUAAAAAAUCGCACAUUAGAAAUUGUGUGUUUAUCGUAUGAAUAUCAAUUUUCAAUAAUAAAUAUUUAUAUUAAAAUAUACUAUGUAUCUAUGUUCAUGUCAUUAAAAUUUAGUUAUAUAUCAUAUAAAAUAAAUAAAAUGAUCGUUUUGAUUUAUUUACCAAAAAGUUAUUGUAAAUAAAAAGAUGUAUUGUUUUGAUUUAUGUAUUUACUCUAAUUUAAUUAUAUAUAUAAUACGUAAGUAAAUACAAAUAUAUAAUAAUAGAUUAAAAUAGUUUUAUAUAUAACAUUCAUCCGGUAAUUCUUAAGCUAGUUAUUAUUACAAGAUGACACUUCAUCAACAAACUGUAACCUAUUGUCAGAAGAACAAAAAGAUCCCUGUAUUUCCCCAUGUACAAAAGAAUCCAACAUAAGAGUUAAGAACAUUGUCUCGAAUCUGGUUUCUUACAUUACAUCCUAAAGCGUUGAGCUUUAUACAAAAGAUUCCAACGUGGAAGAUAAUAUACCUUCUGAAAUUGUACUUUAUCAGAGUUUCUGCCCAUAGAAGCCUGUGAUAACUUAGUAACACCAAACAAAACAGAUUCAUUAACCAAAAAAGAUUCUUUCAAACUCACAGAUUUCUCAAGUGAUUUGCUCUUCUUUAAGCCUCAGACGCGCAACACGCUGUUCUUGAUUCAUGUUAUCCACCGUGGUGUUGUGUAGAUUGUUGUUUGGUCUUAACUGAUGGCUGCUAUUUCUAGCAGCUGGAACGUCAUGGUUAUGUUUCCCUUCAUAUGUUGUCACUACAGCUUUAGGAUCGCUUGCUGCUCUCUCUACAUGUUUCCUCACUCCACACCCCGGUGUUGUACACUUAUAGUAGCUCCUGUUGAAUUGAUGAAAGAGCUUUAAUGAAAAAGACCGAUAAAAAUCUAGAAACUCGAUGACCGGUUUGUUUUUUUUCAUUCUCACCUAGGAUAAGGGUUUCCUUUGACUACUUUCUGACCAUACUUGCGCCAUUUGAAUCCAUCAUCUAAGAGAUCAACUUCACUCGUUGUCUGGACUAUAAUUCUAGGCUCUGUCACUGUUCUUUGCGUUGAAGUAACUGGUUCUGUAACCCGCACUUCCAUAUUCCUACAACAAUGCAAAGAUUUGUCUAAAUGAUGAAUGUAAAGAGACAUCUCUUAUAAAUUUCUUUGUUUUACCUUCUCUUGGGAUCAGGCUCCACACUAGUUUCUUCGCUAUCACUUGCGUCACACAUCUGCUCUGUUGUUGUAGUAGUAACCUGGCUUGUUUCCUGGUCUCUCUUAUUCUUGUUGAGACCACUAUUACUGGUAUGAAACUGAGUUGCAACAUCAGAACUUCUAGAACUCCCGGUAUUGUCUCUCUUAGUCUUGUUUUGUGGAGGCUCGUGACUGUGCUGGCCCUUGUAGAUGAUUUCAGUCACUUGCCCAUCCUGAGAUCUCUCCACUUUCUUCUUGACAGGACACGCGGGGUGCGUGCAUUUGUAAUAGCUCCGAGGAAAAUCGCUGCCUUUGACUUGCUUCUGUCCGUAUUUUCUCCAGUUGUAUCCAUCGUCAGCUGGUUUAUCAGCGUUUUGAGGCUGUGAUGGCCGAUGCUCAUAGACUGAUACUUCCACGGUAUCUCUCUGAGCCAGGGCGGGAAGCUGGGACAUAGGUUCAGAAGAAGUCUCUUGUUGUUGUGUAGAGGAAGGAUAUUCGGAUUGUGAUUGGAUUUGGACACCAUUGCCUUGAACUGCUUGUGCAGUGACUUGUGCUAAAGCUUGUUGGUGUGUCAUACCAAAUGCUCCCUUCACACAUAAAAAUCACAUUAGUAUUAGCUAAUGACAACAAAGAUAAAAAAAAAAAGCCAAGCAAAUACAUGAUUGAAAGCCAUUGUUAAGAUUCAAGAUUUUGGAAAAGAGGUUUAAAGAAACAAUACUAAGGAGUAAUGAUCAUUAAGUGUUGAUUAUGGUUCUCUCUUUGACAUUUAAAGAUAGCCUUUGUCUGAAACUUUCCUACUUUCCUUAUAAAACGCAUAACGUUCUAAUUUCAGUUACCAAAAACAGAGUUUCGAACUAACGACAAAAGAAGAGAUCAACGUGAAAUGAGAAACCAACACCUGAAUGGGUGAAAAAAGACCAAAGAAGCUCGGCGAAUCAAGAAGCGUCGCCGGACUUAAUCCCGGCGGCACGGUGAACAUCGCCGGUGGCUGUGCAAUCAUCAAUCCCGUUGGUCUGUUUUGUUUAAACCUCGGGUCAACAUCACCGCCGCUUCCACCGACGGAACUCACUGGGGUCUGAUGAGCAGUAGCGACGACAGCGGCGGCAGCAACAGCAGCCGCCGGGGAAGCCAUGGCUCCGGCAAGAAGCUGAGAGAAGGUUUUGAGCUCAUCAGGAUCGGAGAAGAGAUUGGAGACGAGGGUCAUAGGACCAGGACUGAAUCCAAGGCCACCGCUGAAAAACAUUUCUCCAAAGGGUCGAGGAGGUAGUGAAAUCGUUGGCCGUGAUGGAGCUCCGGUUGAUGAUUUUAACGUCGAAGGUUGCUUUUGUUGAUGUUCAACCUCUUGUUCUUCCUUAUCCGCCAUCGAUUCCGAUUUGGAAACACAAAGAGGAUAGAAUCUAACAAACCAAAAAGAUAACUUUUGUUUUUCCUUUUCUUUCCUCUCUCUUUUAAACUCUUUUUUGUUUCUUUACACAAUCCGUGUCGUGUUUCAGUUUCAUUUCGUUUUUAAUGUUUUUUUUAUAUCAGUAUAUUUCUUCUGUAGUCUUUAAUGGAAUAGAUUUUGAGAUAUUUUUUGGUUUUCUGUCUCGAUGCAGAUCUCGAUAUAUAAAAACAUUAAAUUUGCUUUCGCAGUACAAAGUCUGCGGUGCAGAUAUGAAGGAGUAAACUCCCUGUCUUUUCUCCUUCCAUUUUAUCCAUUUAAUUAUCUCUGGUUUAAAUAAUUUCCAGAAAAUGGUACUACCUCCGUUCUUGAAAGUAAAAUGUUUUAGAUUUUUUUCUUGUUCCACAAAUAUAGAUUUUCUAUAUUGUUAAGGUAUUUUUUUAUAUUUUUGAGAAACAUUAAUUGAGAAUAUUUGAAUUGAUUAAAUUUUAUUGGUGGAAAGUUAUUGGAAAGUGUAUAAAAAAAUAAAAAAUAAAUUAAAUUAUAAAUAUUUAUUAAAUUCUUAAUAAACGUGCAUACGUUAGAAAAUCUUACUUUCAGAAAUAGAAGGAGUAUAUAUUAUACUACAAUGCUAAAAAUAUCUGUUUUUUUUUUUAUAAAAAUAAUAGAAAAGUAUACUUUUAUUCAUAACAUAGAAGUUCUUUAUAUAGCAGAUUACACCGUCAUAGAUAAAUGAAAAGAUUACAUAUCAUAAUCUUUUGGUUACGAGCCAUUCACAAUCUGGUUCAUAACAUUUUGGAAGGUGGCCAUGGAAAGUAAAAAUCCAAACUUACGUCAACUUUUCCACGAGACGCAAGUCAUGAAAAUAGUUUUUUUCUGUCAUCUAAUGCUUUAUUAUAACAUGCAAUGAAGAAGUUCAUUCUUUUAUCAGUUACAAAUUACAUUGGUUACUAGCCAUGAAAUCAUUUUUUCAUAAAUAAAAAUUAUACACUAGCAUAUUCUAAAAAUUAUACACACAGAAGGAUAGUCUAUAAUAUCAAAUUUGUCACAAAAAUAGAUUUGCUCGGAGGUAUCUGAUAAGUUGGAUGAUACACAGAAAACUAACAUGAUAUAUGCACUAGUCUAGUAUGACACAUAUAAAUUAAGAAAUAGUUCAAAUUAUUAAAUUUGUAAUAAAAAAAAUUCUGGAGUUAUUGUAUAGUAUGAGUAAUAGAUUCUUACUUAUACUAUAUAUAUAAUGUGUCGUGUUUUAAAAUUCUGUGUGCACAUUCUCUUUUGUCUAGUUUUGUUGUAAUCCCUGGGUUAUGAUUGGCUCAUAAGGGGAAAGGGCUUUAUAAAAAAAAAGCGUCGGCGUAUGUUUAAAACCACGACUUUGUCCUUACCGAAAGUUUGUCCCUCGCAAGUCAACAGCAGCUCCAAGCACGACGAGUCGACGUUUUCUAGCCAGUUUGUCGUCACCACGUUCUACAAAUAGGAAUCCGCCACGUGUUCGAACACACUUACCGGAUUUAUUGUCGGAAUAAACCUAAUCACAAUAGCUGUUUUGUUGAGGCAAAACACAAGUUCACUCCUCCCACCCAUGAAUACUACUAUUUCAUAUAGUAACUUUUAUGGGUUUUUCCAAUUCAAAAUCGAAAAGAUUCCUUACACUUUGUUGGCAUCAAAUGGUGAAAAGAGGAAACGUGCGAGUUAGAGAAAGAGUGAAUAUAGCUAGCAACAAAACAAAAGAAAACAACUUGACUUUUGGAGGGCCCAAUCAACUUUGAAAACGGGCCAAGAGACAAUACAGACUUAAUAUCUGUGGGUUCCAGGUGAGGGGCCCUUUUCAUUCAUUGCCACAACGAAUCGCGUCUUCGCUUAUCACAUCAAGAAAGCUAGUAGAAACUGUGCUUGUGUAAACGCAAAUUUAGAAAAGUUUGAUUGCUAAUCACUUAAAGGUAUUGAAACUUUCAUGAUAACCUAACAGAAAAUUUUGAUAUAUUCUUCUUGUUCUUGAGUCCAAUAAAAUUAAGAUGUAGGCUUGACAUUGUAAAUUAUGAUCAAGGAAAUCUUAAAUAAUUUUAAAUUUUUACACCAUCUCUUUAACAUUUUAAUCAAAUUGAUUUCUCCAAGAUAGCUUAAACUUGCUUGUUGCUCAAAAGUGAGAAUGGUAUGCUUUAUUAUAUGACUCCUUCAUGAAUGCUAUGCUUCAGUUGGCUCGAGGGACAUAGCACAGUUGGUAGAGUUCUGCACUUGCAACAAUUAUUGUAAUGGAGUGAAAGACAUACCUUAAACGUUAAAACACAGAUGAUAUGCACUUUACAUUCACAAUUUACAUAUGGGUCGGAUAUCUCAAGGAUUUAAUUGAUGUAAUAGUAACAAAAUACUCCCUCUGUUUUCACAUGAUGUUAUUCUUUAGUGCACAAAGAUUAAAAAUUUUAUUUUUCUCUAAAAAAUAGUUUUAAAAAUAUAAUUUUAAAAUCAUCCAACCAAUUACAUCCAACUAAUUACAGAACUGACUACAACAUCUAAUUGAUUACACAGUUUUCAAUAAAGUUAAAAAUAACAUAAAAAUACCAAAACAUCAUAUAUUUUGAAACAACAAAAAUCAUCUAAAACAUCAUCUAUUAUGAAACAGAAGAAGUAUAUUCUUUGGUACGAAGUUAUAAGUCACUAAAUAACUGAAACAAAACACAAGUGAUAAUGAGAUCUAGGGAGGCCAACAAGAAACGCAUUUAACCAAGAUGAGAGUUAUAUAUAUACCUCUUCCCAAGGUGCAAUAAAACCAAAUAACCAAUUAUGAAUCAAAUAUGGUAAUAACCGUUGAAAACAACAUAUUCUAGAACUCUCCAACGACUUUGAUAGCGUCAUGAGGGGUGUCGUAAACAUUCUUGGACCGAGAUUUCUUGACACCAGCAGUGAACCAGAGCUUGUCGGACUUCGAGCUCUCGACUGAGACUGUGGUGACUUUAACCCAAACCAACACUUUCGUCUUCAUCCCUUCAACACCCAUCAGUUUCCCUCUAAGCAAGAUCCCUUUAACGCGCGUGGCGUACCUUAUCGCUGAUCCGUCUUUGAAUGUGACUUCGCACGGUGUAGAGAAGAAGACAGUGAGUUUGUUCUUGGUCUCAUCGAAUUCGUAGCAGAUUAUGUUUUGUGGGAAGAGUCCUGGUGGUAAGUUGUAUUCUUUGAGUAAAUCUGGUAAGCUUUUCAAUGGCUUUCCUGUUUAAAUAGGAGAAAACAUAACAGUAACAUUGCAUGUUAGAAUCUUGGAUAGUUUAUCAAUGCGAAUAAUAAAAAAAAGGAGUUACCUUUAAGCUUGUUGAAAACCCAUUUGGCUUUCUCUUCAACGGUACUAGAGAAAUUCUGGAAACAAAAGAAAAUGUUCAUGUUUCCUUUUAGGCAAUAUGUGACAAGAGAAGAAAGUGCAAAUUUAUCGUAUGCCAAAUAAAUAGUGAAGCCUUUUAACACGACACAGAAUGAUAAUUAUAGUUAACUAGUACCGAAUCAAAUCUAAAAUGUAGUGCAAAGCAACCAUAGUAUAGCAAACAUAUAACAAGCCAACCAAUGGACACAGGACCUAUAGAGUAUAGAGCAUGUUUCUAAAAAUGGUCACAGAAUCAAAUAUAAAUAUUAUGCUUUCAGUUUGAGGCCAUGAAACAACACUGAUAAGUGCAAAUUAACCAUUCCAUAUAUCAAAGUUCAAACAAAUAGCCAAAGCCUAUGAACACAACACCUACAAGGUAACCUGUCAUGAAAUCAAUAUCAACUCAAGAAUAGAAAAGCCCUUCAAGUGGUUUGUUUGGUUUGUCCUAAAAUCAUUAUCAGUGUAGGGUUCUUAGCUUAGGUCAAAAGCAAGAACAUGAUGAGCAUAUCGUUGCUAAAAGUAUUUAUUUUUGGAGUAAACAAUUACUCAAAAUGGAAACUUUAUAUCGAGAAUAAUCUUAGUUGAGUUAAUCAGUUCAGACAAUGAAGACUCUCGUAUGCAAUUAAUACAUAAACAUGAGCUGGAUCAAAAUUCAGACAAGAUCUUCCUAGAUCUAUGAUUCUUCUACAAUUUCGAUACAUCAACCGACCACAUUACACAAAAUAUGACCAAACCCACAAAUUUCAGACAAGAACCGCAUGCAAAAUCACAGGAAUAAAACAAGGAACAUCGGACAGGAAGCAAGAGAAAGAUCUAGGUUUGCACUCACGGUGAGGUCAUUGGUGAUGUUGGAGAGCUCUUCCUUGGCUUUCUUCGAAACCCAUGAACCUCCCACUUUGAAGCUCGUCACUUUCGUUAACACCUUCUCCAUUUUUCUUCUCCUCCGAUUCACUGUUAGAGUGAAGACAAAAAGCUCUCAGCUAAAAAAAAGUGUCAGAGCAGAGUGAAAGCGGCGACUCACAAAGAUAUAUUGAAAGAGGGCGUUUUCGUCAUUUUGUCAUCUCCUUUUAACAUUUUUCAACUUAAUCCGCUAUCUUUGCCUAAUUUUUCAAAUUACGAACACUUUUACAUAAUAAUUUAAAAUUUUAAAUGCGGAAGAAGACUCUCUAACCGUAUAAAUUUAAACUCCGAGUUUCCUUUUCUAAAAAUUAAUUACUCGAAAAUACAAUUUGAAAUUUAUUAAAAUUUCAAUUUGUGAACAAUGCUUUGUUUUAACGCGAAAUUAAAAUGACUGGAUAGUGAAAAUAUGCCGUGGGGCCCGCAUAUUAACGCUGCUCCAGCACAUAACUUAUUGUACAACGCAAUUAUUCUACCAAUCAUUGAACCUAUCUAGCUCAGCCAGAGGAUUUCAAAAACAAAUAAGUACACCUGUUUGUACUAGCGACAAUCUGAAGAAUUUCGAUUUAGUUUGGUUUAAUUUAGUACAAAAUCAUAUCGAUUACAUCAAUUCAUAAGAACAUCAAUUCAUAAGAACGCACGAAAAAGGUAAAUUAACUCAAAAAUAGACAAAUCAUUAUAAUCACAAAACAGAAACGUGAAUUAACCGUCUAUGUCCAUAAAAGUCUUAGCUUUCUCGUAUGCUUUAUUCAUAUGUUCUCUAAACCGGUUCACAUCUAGUCUAACAUCUUGUUCUUUCAAAUAAACAUUCAUUUUAGUUGCAUUCCAAUCCACUCCUCUAUAAGCAAUCGGAUCUUUCAAAACCAAAUCAUCUUUACUAUACUUCUCUACCAAACUGCUUUCUCCCACAUUCACUCGAUACUCAGUAUACUCCAACUCCAUUCCCUUAGCUGGAUAUUCAAAGCACGUUUUAGCCACCCAACCUAAUCCAAGCGGAACAAUCUGAACCAAAACAGAACCUGGUCUAAGAAACAACAAAUGUGUUAAUGCUGCACCAUGAACCCCGACCAUCCCGUGGCUCGACUUUAUAAGCUUAUACGCUUCUUUCAAGCUCGUGGUUUUUGAUGGUCUGAAUAUGAUGACCUCGAAUCCAACAUCUUCAAGCAUCUCUUUGAUAUGCUUCUCGUUUAGUAUCACUCGACCAACGUUGCCAUAUCGACUGACCAAUAUUAGACGAGGCUUUUGGGAUUUGAGCGUAGAUAGGUUUGUGUUGUAGGCUUUGUCUAAAAGAUUGUGAAAGUCCACUAACGAUUUGGAGUUAGGUAAUCGGAUCGGGUCUAUUAACAUGGGCCCAUGUGAAAUCAGCCCCACAAAAGCUGAAGUGAAACAAUGUGUAAUAGAAGAAGCAUUUUCAUUCUCUAGUAAUAUGGUUUUGUGUUUGGUAAACGCACCUAGAACAUCCAUGUAUCUUGGCAUCCACCAUUCCUUGGGAUUGACUACCACAAUGAUGAAAUCAUGGUCGGGGUAGAUCGAAUUGGCCGUGAUGAAGAGGGGAAUGAAACCAUCAAUGAAAUCGUGAUAGAUGCUUCCAGUAUAACCUCCAGCGCUGAACACAAUAGCCGGUGAAUCAUGUGUUAUAUCACAUGAUCUGGUAUAUACCAAUGUGCCUGAGGUUAGUGUUAGCUCUUUGAUUCUAGGCAUGACCCAUUUGUCUGUUUUUCUUGGGUAUGGUCUGAUCUUCUCGACAAUUGGUGCUGACGUGGAGGAAAUGGGGUCCAUGAGAGCCAAAGUUCCAGUUCUUUGGUCAAGACUACAGGUGCCGUUGAUUGAGCAGAGAUCGUAGUCAGUGUGGGAACGGUCGCAUGUGAUUGUUGAUGAAGUCAUCUCUUGCGGGGCCUGGUCGAUUCUUAUGGUUCUGGAUUCCCACGUUUGUUGCAAUGACGUGCCUAUAGAUGAAACUUCCUUUUUUUAAUUAGAAGAUAAUAUAGUGGACAUUUUUAAUCGAUUAAAACUGAAACAUCUUUGUUAUUUUAAUGUCAACUGAGAAGUGAUAAGUAAUGAAAAGUCAAAAGAGAUCUGCUUCUUUUUUUCCUUUAUAUAUGGUUGGCCAAAUAUUAUGGUCAUUAUUUCUUUUUAAUAUUAAAAAUUAAAAUCCUUACUAAUUUAAUAAAUAGCCUAGAGUUCAGCUAAUAUAGUGAUUUAGUUAAGUUUUUUUAUUGACAAAAAAAAAGUUAUUUUUCCCCCCAUGGUUUCUGAGAACAAAGAAGAAAUUAAGCUUGAUUCAUUUUUGUUAUUAUUUAAGUAUAUGACACAAGUUAUUUUUCUUGUUCAGAAACAUUAUAUUACACAAAUAUUGGAAAGAAGCGAAGUUUAAGACUAGUUUGGUCUAAAAACGUCGACUACUAAGCUUAAACAAAAGAAAAAAUAUCAAUAACCUCUCACGUGCUUUAGAAGAUACUAUAUAGUUUUUUUUUUGGUAAUCAAGAUUGAAGAUACUAUAUAGUUAUAACUUAUAAGUUCGAGACUGACACGAAAUUUAAGUAUCAUUGGUUUUAGUAAUAUUAAUGUGUAGAUCUACACUCGUAUCAAAUCAAAUCUCAUAUAAUAAAAAAUUGGAAAAAUCGCAUUUUAAUCUUAAAAUAGCAAAAAACUAGCAUUUUAAAAUCUUAGAGUUAAUUGACUUGGACUUUAAACAUUUACAAAGAAAUGAUAACCAUUACUGUUAACCAAACCUUUACCUAGUUUCCGAUCACUUUAGUUCAAACAUUUAUGGCUUCCGAUCCAGUCAUACCAUUUUUAUUGAUUUUUAAAAAGUUUGAUUUAGUGCGACCGUUGUGUUAGCAUUCAGAUUUAAAUAAGCUAAACUAUUUUACUAUUUUAUGAAUUCUUUCUUUUUUUGCUAAGAUACUAUUUUGUGAAUUUUCAGUUUAACAAUAUAAUUGUUCCGUCUCCUUGUAAAGACAACAUUACAGUGAUACGUAAAAGGGAAAUUUGAAUCGCAAGAUGAAGAAGUGGUCUGAUAGUUGACAUACCUUGAGAGGAACUUAGGGAAGGAAUUAACCGAAGAUCAGAUACGGAGGAGAAGAGAGCAAGAUACGUCACCAGAACGAUGAACGAGGCAACCGCUGCCACCGUAUAACUCUUCGGUAUGGUUUUCAUAACCAUGAUUCUUUGGUGUUGGUGUAGUGUGAUAAAUAUGUAUCUAUGAAUACAACUGAAGCUUUAUCGUCCCUAAAAGCGUUUGGUUUUCUUUACGGGGGGAGAAAAGAAGAAAAACAUUGCCAGAAGAUUCACAAAAAAUGCGAACGAGACAAUGCGCAUCUUAUAUACUACUAUUUUAAACUUUUCUCUAAAAAUAAUUUUUGAUUUGUUAUUAUUGUCUUCCUCAGUUUGGCACAUGUCUUUUUCUCUUAUAUUGUGUAGAUUUUUUAUGAAUAUUUAUAUAAUAUUUCUUUCUUUUCCGUAAAACAAUAUUUGAAAGACUGCCAUGUACAUGAACCUUUUUCUUAAUUGUCUGCCGUUACGAGUGUAACAAUUUAAUUUAUAAAACCUCUAACAAUUUUUAAUUAGUUACAUCUAUUAAUAAUAUCAAUCACAAUUAUCGUCAAAUGCUGUGUGUUUGUGUAACUAUACAACUGUGUCUUUUCAUUAUAAUGUCAAAGUUGUGUUUUUUCAUUAAAACAUUUGUGUCUUUUUAUUUUAAAAAUAAAAGUAGUUUAAAAAUAUUAUCAUCUUAUAAAAUGACCUGUGAUUCUAUAAUAUAUAUAAAGAUGGAAUUAUUUUAAAAUAAUUAUGUGUCUUUUCAAUAUGCAAACUAUAUAUCGAAAGGAAGUUUAGAUGUCAAAGUUUGUGGCUUUGUGUUUUUUUAUACUGUUAAAAAGGUUGCGUUUUUAAUUAUAAACAGUUGUAUCAUUAUAAUAUAAGCAAUCUUCAAGUAAUAAAUGCUGCUGCAUGGGAAGACUAUAAUAGAACGUAUAAUUAACAAUAUAUCUUGUAUCCGUUUACAGCUGUUCACUCCAUUUUGUCGUUUUGAUAAAUCAUAAAAACGACAUAUAAUUAAAUCGAUAUUAGUAACCAGCUAAAGAUGUACGGUAACCUCUGUAAAUUAAUAAUAUUGGGACUUUUAAAUUUUAUUAAUUUAUAGAGAUAUUAAUUUACAAAAAUUUUCAUAUUUAGAUUUAUUAUUUUAAGAUAUAUUUAUUCCAAGAUAAAAAAAAUAUUUGAUUUUUUUGUAUACACAUUAAUUGUUAUUUUUUGAAAUUUGACAUUUAUAUUAAUUUUUUUAUAUUAUUUGGUUUAUAUAAUAUAUAUCGCAUAGUGAUUUUAAAUAUAAUAUUACUAAAUCUCAUCAAAAAUAUAUUAAAUGUUAAGAAAAUAUAAAGAUAAUUUCAUUGUGAAUAUAAAACAAACAAUAUAAUAAUAUGUUCUUACUUAUAUAAAAUAUGUAUACAUAUAAAUUAUUAAUUUAUAAUUUUAAUGGGACCAUAUAUUUACAUAAAAUUUUCUAAAAAAUUAUUAUCUUAUUAUUUUAUCGAUUUAUGUCAUAUUUUGAAUCGGUCCAAGUUGGGACCGACAAAAUUCAUUAAUUUAUAAAAAUUAUUAAUUUAUAGAGUAUUAAUUUAUAGAGGUUCUACCGUUUUUUUUACGUAUCUACAUUCAUUUGUAUACACCUUUAAUCUCUUACUCAAUAUGGUUGUUUUUGGUUCUUCAACGCAAGAUGCUUAAACUAUGAAAAACUGAUAGACAUUAAUUUUUCAUGGGAGGCUUGACGGGACAGCUUAAGUUAUCAAUAGACGGGCAUUUAAAUCAUUCAUUUCAUCAUAGCGUGGGCCUCUAAAGGCCCAUUAAGUUUUUUCAUUACAACCUCAGACCAAGCAUUUGGCGGGAAGAGCCACGCCGCCACCGGGAAGUUGCCGACGGCGAGAACCGAUGCUUCGCUUACGCCUAUGGGUUAGAAGAUUUACGUUUCAACGGAGAUGCGUCCAUAAUGUCUCCACUUCCUCUCUGCUUUACGCCGCAUCGAUUCCGAGCCUUCGCCUCUUAAGUAACUGCAAGAGCAUUGAUUCACUGCGGAAAGCUCACGGGGUCUUAACGGGGAAUGGGCUUAUGUCUGACAUAUCGUGUGCCACUAAGCUCGUUAGUCUCUACGGUUCCUUUGGGUACACUAAAGAUGCACGCUUGGUGUUCGAUCAAAUUCCCGAACCAGAUUUCUAUUUAUGGAAAGUCAUGCUCAGCUGUUAUCACCAGAACAGAGAGAGUCUCGAAGUCGUAAAGCUUUAUUCUUUAAUGAGGAAACACGGUUACGACAACAUUGUUUUCUCCAUAGCUUUGAAAGCGUGCACUGAGAUGCAGGAUUUGGAUAACGGGAAGAAGAUACAUUGCGACAUUUUUAAGAUGCUAGGCUGUGAUGAUAUUGUGUUGACAGGUCUUGUAGAUAUGUAUGCUAAGUGUGGAGAGAUCAAGACUUCUUGUAGAGUGUUUGAAGGUGUUAGCUUGAGGAAUGUGGUUUCUUGGACUUCGAUGAUUGCUGGGUAUGUGAAGAACGGCUUGCACGAGGAAGGGUUGGCUGUGUUUAAUCAGAUGAGGGGAAGCUCUGUUUCGGGUAAUGAAGUUACGUACGGUACUCUUGUCACGGCGUGCGCGAAGCUCGGUGCUUUACAUCAAGGGAAGUGGUUACACGGUUGUUUGAUUAAGAGUGGGAUUGAGUUGGGAUCAUGCUUGGUGACGUCUCUGUUAGAUAUGUAUCUUAAAUGUGGUGAUAUAAGCAAUGCGCGUUGGGUGUUUAAUGACUAUUCCCAUGUGGAUCUUGUCAUGUGGACGGCGAUGAUUGUGGGAUACACACAUAACGGAAGUGCCAGUGAGGCUUUGAGCUUGUUUCAGAAAAUGAAAGGAGUUGGAAUCAAGCCUAACUGUGUUACCAUUGCAAGUGUCUUAUCCGGUUGUGGUCUGGUUGGGAAUCUUGAACUUGGAAGAUUAGUUCAUAGCCUAUCCAUCAAAGCUGGUCUUUGGGAUACAAAUGUUGCUAACGCUCUGGUUCACAUGUAUGCCAAGUGUUAUCAGAACAGAGAAGCUAUGUAUGUGUUUGAAAGGGAAUCAGAGAAAGAUUUAGUCGCUUGGAAUUCUAUAAUUUCCGGUUUUUCACAAAACGGAUCUGUCCACGAAGCUUUGUUUCUGUUCCACCGCAUGGUUUCAGAGUCUGUGACGCCUAAUGGUGUAACAGUUGCAAGUCUCUUCUCAGCAUGUGCUUCCCUCGGGUCUUUACCCAUAGGUUCCUCUCUUCAUGCUUAUUCCCUGAAACUGGGCUUCUUGGCAUCAUCAAGUGUCCAUGUUGGUACUGCGCUCUUGGACUUCUACGCCAAAUGUGGGGAUGCGGAAUCAGCUCGUAGCGUUUUCGACACUAUAGAGGAGAAAAAUACGAUCACAUGGAGUGCUAUGAUCGGAGGCUACGGAAAGCAAGGGGACAGAGAAGGCUCUAUUGAGCUAUUUGAAGAGAUGCUGAAGAAGGAACAAAAGCCGAACGAAUCAACCUUCACGUCUAUUUUAUCAGCUUGUAGUCACACGGGGAUGGUUAACGAAGGGAAGAAGUACUUUAACUCGAUGCACAAAGACUACAACUUCACGCCUUCCGCAAAGCACUACACAUGUAUGGUUGAUAUGCUGGCACGAGCAGGUGAGCUUGAGCAAGCCUUGGACCUGAUCGAGAAGAUGCCAAUUCAACCAGACGUGAGAUGUUUUGCAGCGUUUCUCCAUGGAUGUGGAAUGCAUUCGAGGUUUGAUCUUGGGGAGAUCGUGAUCAAGAAGAUGUUUGAUUUGCAUCCUGAUGAUGCCUCUUAUUAUGUGCUUGUGUCUAAUUUGUAUGCGUUGGAUGGAAGAUGGAGCCAGGCUAAAGAGGUGAGGAAUCUGAUGAAGCAGAGAGGUCUGCGCAAGGUCGCAGGACAUAGUACAAUGGAAACAGAGUUGUCUCAUAGCUUUUGUGGAUGAACAAAGAAUCAUAUAUACACAAAAGCAUUCUUGGAUUACGUCGAUUUGUUUAGUGUACAGAACAAGAACAGUUCUACGAGGAUAUAUAAGAUAACGAACAGUGAACAGCUCUGAGCUGUGCUAAGAUUCUUGCUUUGUUGCGUGGUCCCAGCAAGAAUCUGUGAUAGUGAAAGCCGCUUUCAUCUUAAUCCUCAUCUUGUGAAUCAAAGGGAACUUCAUGCCGAGGUUUGUUGUACUUCUCACGCAGCUGUUGGAUUGGGAUGAAAUCUCCAGCUGUAUCCGCACCAUAGAAGAGGAAAGAAAUGUAUGGAUGAUCAAACCUUUCCUGUAGAAACCACACGCAAACAUGAGUCAAAAAAAAAAACAUUGCAAUGGAGAUGAGAUUAUCCACAAUCUGCUCACUUUGUCAGGUUUCUCAGGAGCUAAUAGAUUGUCUUCAGGAACUGCAAAAUAUCAGAUCCACAGUCAGGUGAUGAGGAUAGUAUUCACUGUUUAAUGUUGUCCAGCAGCAGAAUCUCAAAGAAUAUAUACAGUUAACGUUGGACUCGAAUACUUGGAGCUUACCGUAUGCCACUAGUAGAUCAGGGUGGGUGCGUACAUCGACAAGAACCUGCUAGACACAAGCAAGAAGGUUUACAUAUUCUUGUUUUCUUCUCUAAAUAUGCAUUAAACAGUCUUAGAUCGUUCAUAUGUGUUUUAAUAUGCUCCAGAUAUUUGUUUCAGCUUCUUUUUUCUAUCAAUUUAAGCCUUUAUGUGCGUUGUUUCCGAACAAGAACCUGAUAAAAUGGCUGAUUAGAUCCACGAGGCAGCUUUUCAACUUCUGCAGCUUCCAUCCAGGAGCUUGAUUCACAGCAAACUGGAUCCAUCCCGCAAACCACAGCCCUGUAACCUGCAACAGAUGAAAAAUAUCAUGUAAGUUCCCCAAGAUGAAUGUAAAACCAAAGCGAAAGAAGCACUAAUACAAAUGACAAUGUUACCAAAAGCUUUGUGUUUCAGUUUCUGUCCCAGACGAAACGCAUACUCUGCAUUCUCAAAAGCCAAGGCUUUGGCAGAUACAGCUAAUGACUCUGCCUCAAGCUUUGAGAUCUCAUCUCUCAACUUAGCUGCCAAACCAUAAUCCUCACCGUCAAUAGCAUUCUGGAGAUCUGCACUGCAAUCAUAGCAAAUAAACAAUAAAAGAUGGUACACUCCAAUGUUUACACUUGCAAACAAAGAGAGAAUAUAACAACUCACCGUAGCCUUAUGAUGCUAAUACCCUUGUCUUGUGCUUCACUUUUGGAUGAUGAUCCUCUUUUCAAUUCCUGCAGUCUUAUCGCCUCCUCUUCAACCUACCAACCACACACCUUUAUCUACUGUUGUGUUGCAAUCUCACUGAAAGAUUCAAAACAUGUAAUUUCAUAACUACCUCCGUUAGCUUUUCUCUAAGUUGUUGCGCAAUGUCGUACUGCUCCAUAUUCAAAGCACACUGUAACACCAAAACUCAGAUCAUUUCAAUGUUGUCAACACCACCAAAAAAACUCGUGAACAAUAGUAAUCUUGCUGUUACCUGAACACGAGUAGCCAAGUCAAGCUGAAAGAAGAAGAUCAAAAUAUCUUCAUUGGCACUCUCGCUUCGCUCAGAGUUUGGAUCUAGACCUUGGUCACCUCCUUGAAAUGGCCAUCUAGCUUCAACCCGCAUCAUGUUUCUUUGCUUUAGUGACUUCCAAUGGCUUCUUAGAAAUGAUGAUGAUGAUGAUCUACGCAAGAAUUGACACGACACACAUCGAUCACCAAUCAGUCCUGAAGAUUUCUCCAACUUUACACGAUUCCUCCAUGAGCUGUAAACUUGUACACUUCCACAGAUUGUUAACGUGCUUAGCGACUGAGUUUGCACCAUUUUUAUGAGGACCGUAGUCACACUUUCCAAACCUGAUAAUCGUUACUACAAAACCCAACAGUAAUCAGACAGAGCAGAUUCGGAUGAGAUUCUAAACUCGAAAUGAAAGGAACGAGAUAAAAGCAGGUUUGUAAAGUGAAAAUUCGAGAAACUUUCACUAACUGUAUAGAUUCCGGCAACACACGCCGAUCAACUAAGAAACUUGCCGGCACGGAGGAGAGUUUUCGUCCUCACAGAUUUUUUUCUCUCUUAUUUGUUGAAAGUUGAAACUCAUAGCCACUAAAUAUAUUUAUCCUUUCAACUUUUGUUACGCAUCAUGACCCAGUUUAGGCCCAUUAAAAUGCUUUUUUUUUUUUUUUAUUCCAAAGAUAUUACAUAGUUUUUUUGUCCUUGUCUAGCUUCUUUAGCCAUUACAUCAACAUUCCUAGUUAAAGCUCUAGGUACAUAAUAAAAAGUAAAGCUUAAUUGCUUGGCCAUUGCCACAAUGGACGCCUCUAUGUUACAGACUUUGAAGAUGGUUUGUUCAGUCAUUUACUCAUUUCUAAGUUAGUUACAAUCAAUCAUAAAAGCGACAUGCUUGUAUACUUCUUGAACCACCAUAAGAAUGGAGCAUGCUUCAGCUUCUAAUGGAGAGCUUGUUGGCUUGAUUGAAGAAGAGGCAUGAAGAUUCGGGACGCCUUCUUUACUGUAUAAGGACCAUCCAAUCCCUCUGACCUCUUUCUCAUUAACCCUAGAAGCAUCUAUCCAAAGAGUACAUAGAAGCCGAGCUAGGGAGUACCUCUUGUAUGGUUGUAGUUUUUGAGAUUAUCUCCCUAUCCGAUUGAGUAUUUUGAUUUGCAAGUUGGAGCGCCUCCCUUCAUUGUUGACAAUCACACAGUGCUCUUUCUCAUUUUCUAGAUUUUCGAACCCAUAAAAAAGCUCAAUAUCUCCACCUUGUUUUCUUUCACAUCUUAUGAUACUAUUUAGAUUUUGAAUAAGGAAAGCUGAAUCCUCAUUAGGUACCUUAAAAGUAGUGGGAUCCAGGGACCAUAUUUCUUUAGAAACUCUACAGUGGAACAUCAUAUGAUUAAGAGUUUCUUUUUCCUCUCCACAUACUUGGCACCAAUCGCCUGUUUUUAUGCCCCUCUUCUUUAGAUUGUAUGCCACAGGUAAGCUGUUAUGAGCAAUUUUACACCAGAAUGUCUUUAUUUUGGAGGAAGAUUUAGUUUUCGCAUCGCCGAUCUGAUUUUUUUUUAAUUUCAUUAGGCGUUUCUAUUGCCUCUUGAGUCUUGUUGACCUUCAUGGGUUGUGAUUUGUCUCUGUAAGUGAUACCUAGAUUUAACACCGUAAUGAUCAUCUUUUGUGUACGACCAAAUAAUGAUGUCAGGCUUAUGGAAGAGGCUAGGUCGUAUGCGAAGAAUGUUACUUGCAUCUUGGUCAUUAAACAUAUUCCUGAUUAGUUGUAUGUUCCAUUCCGUAUUAUUUUCAGUAAAGAGCUCACAUACAAGGAGUUGGGGACAAUGAAUUGGUGUUGUACUAGUGGCACUUGUAGCAGGCUUUGAGCCUAACCAUUGAUCCUUCCAAACACUAAUAUCCUUAAUUUCCAUUGCCUACUAUCCAUUUAACCCAUUUUCUAAGAAGAUCUUGUGUCUGUAUAAUCUUGCGCCAACCAUAGCUGGACGUGGAGUAACUCCUGGCCUCUAAAAAAUUUGUAUGAUGAUAAUACUUGACCUUGAAAACUCUAGCUAGUAGUGACUGAGGGUGUUUUAGCAGACGCCAUUGUUGUUUAGCUAGUAGUGCCAUGUUGAAAUCCUCCAAGUCUCUUAACCAAAUCCCCCAUCUUUUUUUUUAUCUUGUAAUUUUCCUCCAGCUUACUCAUGCAAUCUUGUUCUUAUCUGUAACAGAGGACCACCAGAACCUUCUCAUAUAAGUUGUAAUCUCUCGGAUUAGUCCUUUUGGGAGCCUUUAACAAGACAUUGCAUAAGUGGGUAACGCAGUAAUCACCUCUUUCAGCAUCACUUCUUUGCCUGCUUGAGAGAGAUAUUUAUUGUACCAGCUAUCUAUUCUAUUCUUAAUUUUCUGUCUAAUGUAUUCAAAAGCAUCUUUCUUCUUCUUACCAAUUUUUUCAGGUAGUCCUAAAUAUCUCCCAAAACCUCUUAACUUGGUAAUUCCUAUAGUUUCAAUCAAAAUAUUUUGAUCAGUUUGGGGAAUACCUUUGGAAAAGGUGAUGGCAGAUUUGGCAUAGUUGACUGCUUGUCCAGAUGCUUUUUGAUAUAUGGCAAGAACUUCUUUUAAUGCUCUACAUUCCUCCAUUGUUGCUCUGCAAAAAACUAGAGAAUCAUCUGCAAAAAAAUAGGUGUGAGAUAGCUGGUCCUCCUCGUGAAGCUUUGUAUUCAUGGAGCUUUUGAUUUUGAAUUACUUUUUUGAUCAACUGAGACAAUCCUUCAGUACAUAUAAUGUAUACGUAGAGAGAGAUGGGGUCUCCCUGUCGGAUUUCUCUCUGUGGUUGAAUUGAAUCUGUAGGGUCUCCAUUAAACAGUACUGAAUAAGUAUAAGAGGAUAUACAUGUGUGUAUCCAUCUGCACCAAGUAUCACUAAAGCCCAUCUGUCUCAUUACUGAAUCAAGAAAUUUACACUCAACCUUAUCAAAUUCUUUAGAUAUGUCUUGUUUAAUUGCCAUGAACUUGUUUUUUAGGUUCUUGGUAUGUAAAUAAUGCAUCAGUUCAUCAGCAAUUAAGACAUUAUCUGUGAUUAAACGCCCUAGUAUAAAAGUUGUUUGAUUUUCUGAAAUGAUUCUAUCUAAUCAGGGUUUGAGUCUCUCUGCUAAAAUUUUAAAAAUUAUCUUGUAAGCAACAUUUGAAAGACUAAUUGGUCUAUAGUCUUUUAGUGUGGAAGGGGAAUCAGUUUUAGGGAUGAGGCAAAUGUGGGUAUGGUUUAUCUUGGAGUCUAAAUAAUUCUGUUGAAAGAAGAGUUUAACAUGAGAGAACACACCUUGCUUAAUGACAUCCCACUGAUGUCUGAAGAAGCAUGUGUUCAUGCCGUCAGGGCUAGGAGAUUUAUCCAGGUUUAUAACAAAAGCUGCCUCUUCAAUCUCCUGCUUCGGUACUUCUUUGGUUAAUUGUUUGUCGAUCUCUUCCGUUAUUACUCUGGGUAUUCCUUGAAUCAGAUCAGGAGCAAUACUACAGCCUUCAGUGGCAUAAAUCUUUUGGAAAUAUGCUUUAAUCUCGGAUUGAAUAUCACAUGGAUCCGUGUAUAUGCAUCCUUCAUCAUCUGCGAAGUGAAUGAUCGAUCCUAUUAUAGCUUCUUCUUUUCAUUGUCUUUGAAUGAAAGAAUUUGUUGUUCAUGUCCCCUGCUUGCACCCAGUGUACUCUGCUCUUAGUUCUCCAAUACUCUUCUUCGGUUCUUCCAUCCUAUAUUGCAGGCUUAGCUCCGCUUUUAACAUGUUAAGAGCACCAUAAUCAACAUUAGGACUUAUGUUUUUAUUCCUUAUGUUUAGAUUCUAUAUAGAUUUUUGAGGUUAUAUUUACUCGAUGGCCAAAAAAAAACAUAUAAAUAUGAAAUUAUAUGAAUUAGCAAAUUAAAUACAUGAUUCCUAAAAAAUAGGCCCAAUCCUUGCAUACAUGAUUUCUAAAAGAUUAAGCUUAUUUAAAUGUUAAUUUGUUAUGAACCAGAUCGCGUGGAUGACUAAUAACCAAGAGAUUAUGAUUUGUAAUCUUUCCAUUUAUAUAUGACGGUGUAAUCUGCUAUAUAAGGAACUUCUAUGUUAUGAAUAAAGAUAGACUUUUCCAUUACUUUUAUAACACGUUAUCAGCACGAAACUCUAAAUCCCUAAGCUAAUACCCAAAUCGAAAAACCCUAAAACCCUAACCCUAGCCGGCGAUCCGACGAACCCUAAACCCCGAUCGCGUCUCUUGUUCCCGCAUCUAUUCCAGCUCGCGUCCCCGAUCAGCUUCAGCCCAAGGCGUUCUCGAUCCUAGCUCAGACGUUCGCGACCCGAGAGCAGCUCCAGCACGCGACCUCUUCCUCGUUCGCGACAGCAUCAGACAGCUCGCGUCCGACGAUCAAGGUGUUCCGGAUCAAGCAACAAAGGACGUCCGCGACCCGAUAGAAGCGACUCGAUCCAUUCCAGCUCGCGUCCCGUUCGUGUCCAGCUCGCGGCUCAACUCCUUUGGUGGUCCGAUUCAACAAUCAUCUAAGGUUAAAAGGUAAUUCAAAACCUAAGAACCCAUAAUCGAACAUGGAUUGAUUGAUAAAGAAUGAAACCCUAAAACCCUAAUCUUUAUGAAUCAAAACCAUAGGGUAAUAUAUCAAAAAUCCUAAUUGAGUAAAUCAAAGCUCUAAAAGUUCGAUACCCCAAACCCUAAAUCAUGUUCCUACAUGAUUAAAACCCCAAAUCGGUUUUUACAAGUUAAAAUCCGAUAAACUCUAACCUUAUAUCUAUAAACCCUAAAUAAUAUAAGUAUCAGAAUUAAUUAUACUAUAAUUAUCAAAUCACAUAUUAAACCCUAACCGAAUAUUUUGAGAUCAAAACUGUUUUCGGUUUUGAUCAUUGAGGUUUUAAAUCUGAUCAAAUCUGAUGCUAUGUUGCUAGAAUUGUUUGACCGUUAAAUUGAUAGAUUUAUUUUCUCAUCCUGCUUGGUUAAUUGUUCAUCUGAUUUAAAAUUGUUUAAACCGACCAGCCUGUUAAAAUAUUGAUUGAAUCCGAUAGGUUGCUAGCUUGCUUUGCUUAUAUAAUCCGAUAGGUUGAUAGAUUGAUUGAUUGAGGUAUACUUGUUUGAAAUCCGAAUGAUCUGAUUGCAUGAUUCUUGAGGUUUAAUAUCAUCUGCUAGGAUUAAUAGUUUUGUAAUCUGAUCUGUUUUAAAUAGAACCCUAAAUAAUUCGUAUGAUAGGUUAUAUUGAUCUGAUUUGGAUGUCUUUGAGAAUUGAGAAUCCGUAUGCUAGGUUGAUAGAUUCAUGAUAAAAUCUAAUGUCUUGAGGUUUAAGAUUGUAUGCUAAGUUCGAUUAAAUUGAUUGAUCUGAAUAUAUGUUUUUGAGGUUUGAUAAUUUCGGAUACUAGAUAAAUUAUUUACACAUGGUUUAUGCUAAAUACCAAUCAGCUUUGAAACUGAUUCAUUGAAAUUCAUGCUUGAAAUCUAUAUUCUAGUAUUGCUAAAAUCAGCCUUGAAGCUGAUUCAUUGAAAUUCAUGCUUGAAAUCUAUAUUCUAGUAUUGCUAAAAUCAGCCUUGAAGCUGAUUCAUUGAAAUUCAUGCUUGAAAUCUAUAUUCUAGUAUUGCUAAAAUCAGCCUUGAAACUGAUUGAGUGAUUAAUAAAUCUUUUUACUGGUCUUGCUAAAAUCCAUUGAUUGUUAAACCCUAAUUGCAUGAUUAAUUGAAUUCGUUUUUGCUAGUUUUGAUAAACCAUAAUAUUAUGAGCACAUAGAAAUAGUAUUGCUGGGACUUGCUAGAAAUUGACUGAUUGAUUAAAUGCCUUUAAGAUUGAUAGUCUCAUUGUCCUCACAAGAUUGAAAUCCGAAUUGAUUGUUUUUAAGAGUAAGGCUGCAUAAAAAUUAUACCUAAAUAUUGAGUGAUAUAUGAUUUGAGAUGUCGAAAAUCAACCUGGAUUUUGCUGCCCUAAAUCUCUCUGGAGAUAAUUAUUUACGGUGGGCAUUGGAUACAAAGAUUAUCCUAAAGUCAAAAAGACUUGGUGAAUGUAUCAUAGAAGACAAUAAUGCCAAUGAGAAAGAUUGAUACAUGGUAAUAUUAAUUAUUAGCCAUCAUCUUAUUAAGUGUCUCAAAGAUCAAUAUCUAACUAUAGAGAAUCCUCUAGACCUUUGGACAGAGUUAAAAAUCGAGAUAUGAUCACCAAAGAACGGUGUUAUUACCAAAUGCCCUAUUUUAUUGGAGGAAUCCCAGAAUCCAGGACUAUAAGUCCGUAGAUGAGUCUAUUGCUUGCUGGACAAAAUAAUGGAUUACUGAUGAGAAACAGUGAAUUGAGACCUCCUGGAUUAACCCCAUUACCUGAUACCAAUAAGGCCGCAGAAGACAAAAAAAAAAAAAGGUAACUACGUCCAGAAUGAUAGACCACGCGGUCAUGGCCGUGGAGGGUGGAAAGGACGUGGCCAUGGCCACUAUAACACAUUUGGCCGUGGGAAUCACUAUGGCAGAGGCCGUGGGUAUCAACCCAAUUUGAGCCAUGGUCAAGGCAGUGGCCGUGGUAUAUCCUUUAAACCACAAAGCUCGACCAAAUCAGUGUGCCAUAGAUGUGGAAUGGGGAGCCAUUGGGCUAAGAUAUGAAGAACUCCCAAACAUUUUUGUGACCUCUAUCAAAGAGAGUCUGAAAGGGAAGAAUUCUAAAACACACUUGGUCUAUAAAGAUGGUGAAAAUAAUUUCGAACAUGAUCAAGAUGAUCUUAUGGAAUAUGAGACUUAUGAUUGCCUAAAAGAAUCAAGUUGAUAAUCUGAUUUCGACAUCAAACUUGUGUGAUUGCUUUGCUUGUAUGUUUUCUCUGAUUUUUAUCUCCUUGAAUUUAUUUCUAUUAUAUUGUCUGAUUAAAUGAAUGAAUGAUUUUUCUACAUAAGUACACUGAAAAACACCAAUAUAAGUACUAAAGCAGGUAUCGUUUGUCUGAAAGAAGACUAUGACUAGGCUAAUAUAUUAUUGCCUAAAGGUAUGCAUAUAGAAAUCAGUGAUGCCUUAUAUUCACUCAACUCUAAGAGUAAGAGCAACCUAUUGAGUUUUAAAGAUAUAAGAAUGAAUGAUUUCCAUAUUGAAACAAUGGGCGAAGGAAACAAAGAGUUCCUUCAGAUAUAUGUAUAAAAUCGCCUAAGGCCAUAAUAAGUCGUAAAGACUAUACUUGCAUUCUCUACUGGCCUAGACUAUGCAUAGAUCAGUAUGAUAGAGACUAAAAGCCUGCGAAAAUAUACACUUUAUGGCACGACCGGAUUGACCAUCCUGGUCCAAACAUGAUGCAAAAAUUGAUAUUCAAAAGGCACACAUUAAAAGAUAAGAAGAGUUAUCCCAAAGAAUCUCACGUGUGUAGCAUGUACACAAGGGAAACUCAUUAGGCCAUCACCAGUAAAAUAGCUACGAGCCCUUUUUUCAUAAAUAAGGACUAUAUGUCUAGAUAAUACUGGUGAAUACAUGUCCCAAGCGUUUAAAUGAUUAUGGUAUGUCCAUGGGGGUAAGUGUGGACAAUUCUGUGAUACAUGUCCAUACCAAGAACGGCUUGGCCAAAAUCUUUUAAAACGCAAAUAGCUGAUUGAUAGACCAUAACUUAUGAGGUCAAAACUCCCAUUCACAGCUUGGGCCACACGAAAUUUACAUGCACCUAAGUUAAUAUGCAUCAGGCCAUUUAGUGAGCAUAGAUAUCCCCUAUCACAAUUAUUAACGGGUCAAGAGCCGGACAUACCCUAUCAUAAGACAUUUGGAUGUGUUGUUUAUGUACUAAUUGCUCCACCACAGAGAACUAAGAUGAGACCUCAAAAGGAGGAUGGGGAUAUAUGUUGGAUAUGAUUCUCCAACAAUAAUAAAGUACUUUGAGCCAACUAUGGGCGAUUAUAUUUGAGGCCAGAUACACUGAUUAUUUUAAGACCAGGAGAAAAAAAUAAUAAUAAAGCUGGUAAAAGAAUGAUAAAAUAAAUAGAAUGGAAUCAACCAUCAAUGUGUUGGCAUGAUCUUCAGACUAAAGAAUGUGAAAUAGACGUCCAAAGAUUAUACAUUUACAAAUCUAGCUAAUCAAAUGCCAGACACAUUUGCUGACCCGAAAAAGAAUGACUAAGUCAUAUAUAAACCAGCUUGUAAAGCACCAACAAAUUUGAUGUCCAAGAAUAGACACAGUCGAGUUGCUACAGGGUCUAGACAACGUAUGAAACGUGGUAGACCAAAUAGGUUCCAAAAGAUAAGAAUCCUCGGAAACAAAAGAAAGGUGCAGAGAAUGAUAAUCAAAAUCCAAAUCCGAGGUUACUAAGGAAACCAUCCCAGACAUGGAGAUAAGGUCAGCCGGCUCUAAGGUACAGGUACCAAACAAUGUAGCUUGGGACGCCAAGCUGCAAAGUAUUAAAUGUCCUGAUAAUAAUGAAUCUCAAUCGAUUAUAUCAUGUCUGGAACAUAAUGGAACCAAUAAGGAAUGUCGACAUAAGAUGAUUUAUUUGCAUACAAGGUAACACUUGAAUUUAUGAAUAUAAGCAAGGAUCAUGAACCCACGUCAAUAUAAGAGUGCGCACUCGUAGAACAGAUUGGAUUGAAUGAAAACAUGGGGUUAAAUAGUUUAAGGAUGAAAGGCGUAUUUGGCCAUAUUGUUAAGACGCCAUAUGAUGUUAAAACCAGUGGAUAUAAAUGAGUAUUGUGAGGAAUAGAAAUCGUGAGAUAUAAAGCUGAUGUUGCACAAUGAUUCUCACAAAGACCAGUAAUAGAUUAUGAGGUGACAUACUCCCAUGUGGUGGAUGCAACUACUUUUAGAUUUCUCAUAAGUCUGGCUAUAUAAGAGAGAAAAUUAGACUUGCAGCAAGUUGAUGUAGUGACUGCAUAUUUAUAUGGUCCACUAGAUAAUGAAAGUACUAGAGGGUAUUGAGCUGAAAGUACAGCAAGUUCUCGAGAACAAUAUUGAUAAUCAUCAAAGUAUAUGAUCUGAAUAUCCUAGGAACCUCUGGAUACAAUUUUUCAAACAGUUGAAUAUAUCAAGAAAGAGUUUGAGAUGAAAGAUCUUGGAAAACAAAGUUUUGUUUGGGAUUACAGUUUGAGUACAUUAACAAUGAAAUCCUUGUGCAUCAAAUAGUAUAUAUAGAAAAGGGUACUCAAGAGAUUUAAUAUGGACCAGUCUCACCCAUUAUCUAGUACAUGGGCAUGAGAUUAUUUGCUUUGGACACUGAUCCAUUCAGUCCAAAGGUGGACGAUAAAGAAGUCCAUUUAGUCCUGAGAUGGACGAUGCAGAAGUCUUGUUUUAGACACUGAUCUGAUUGGUCCAUAAGAAGAACGAUGAAGAAGCCUUUGAUUUUGGUUUAUUUUAUACUAACCAGCCCAAAUAGGGGUUAUUUGGUUUUGUUGAUUUGUUUUCAGACAGGUUAUGUUUUACACAUGGUGGUACAUGCAUAUCACAGCAACAUCAUCCAAGAUUUCGUGUGUGUGUAUAUGAGGUCGAUGACUCAAUAUGUUCGAUCAAUUGUGGCAUGACCGAUGGUAAAGAAGAAGCAACUAUCAUGUUCGAGGACGAAGCAUAUUCUGCCCAAGAUCUUCAUCACCCACAGAUUUCAGAAAAUUGGAGAGGUCCAAGGGAUCUUCAGUAAUGUCCAAAUCAGGGGGAAUAAUGUGUAUUGUACUUUUUUUCCUUCACCAUGGUUUUGUCCCAAUUGGAUUUUCCUGGUAAUGUUUUAAUAAGGCAACAUUAAAGCACAUUACAAGCUCUAAAUGGUUAUGACAUCCAAUGGAGAGUGUUAUGAACCAGAUUGUGUAUUGCUCAUAACCAAGAGAUUAUGAUUUGUAAUCUUUCUAUUUAUCUAUGACGAUGUAAUUUUCUAUAUAACGAAUCUCUAUGUUAUGAAUAAAGAUAAACUUUUUCAUUAUUUUUAUAACAUAAUUUAAGUUUUAUGUUUGAUUUUGAGUUUAGAUGUCUCCAUCAUAACUUUUGUGAAAACCCUAAAAAGAGAAUCAGAUCUGGAUAAACCAAUUCUAUCUGAAUAUAAUUCUGGUUUUGGUUUACCUUCGGAUGCUGGUUUUUAAACAUCUUAAGAUCAUCUCUAGUUUUACAAAGUUAAUGGCUUCCCAUGAGUAAUGAUAACUAAUCAAAGCUAAUAUUUUAUUUUACAUGAUCCAUCAGUUAACAAAUUCAAAACUGACAACUUAUAUUUAAUAGUAACCAUGGAAGAUAAUAUAUCACUACCAUAAUUAUUUAUUUGUUGAUCUACUAAUUAAACAUUAAUCACUUCAUGAAACCUUGAGCCAUCUUAGCAUAGUCUCCUAACCCAUGGCUGCCACCUCCCGACUUCUCAUCCUCUUUCUUAACCGCCGGUCCUCCAGCUCCUCCUCCAUGGCUUCCGCUGACACCACCGUGACUGCCAGCACCGCCAGAGGAGUGAGAGUUGGAAGACUCGUACUUGUGGAGAAAAUUUUCAGCCUUUUCGAGGUACUGACCAACACCACUCUUUUCAUCAAGCUUGCCGUAUCUUUGAGCUGCGUCUAGUAUGUCGGCGGUGGCUCCGGCGACUUUAGCUUUGUCGAGUUUGUCUGUCUCGUUGCGAGAAGCGGCUUGAGCAGCCUCCGCUACGAUCUUGGCGCUAGCCAUGAGCUCGGCGUUUGUAGCUGGCUUAUGCAUUGUUGGAUCGGAGCUGGAAGCAGGUUUAUGUGUUGGAACGGUGUGGCCCGGUUUGUUAUUGUUGUGGUUCGGGUCAGGGUCUGAAGUUUCCGGUUUCUUGUCGGAGAAUUUCUUCUUUACUUGGUCGGUGAGGAAAUCCAUGUUUCUUGUCUCGUCUCAGACGAAAAAAGGUUGUUUUAGUUGAUCUUGAGUUUGGAAAAUGUAAAGUAACAAGUUAUUCGGGGAUGGUAUUUAUUGAAAGUGAGAAAGAUUAAUACUUUAUUCAUUGUCCACUAGUUUUAUUUUUGCCUCCGCUACUUAAUGGGGAUAAUUAUAGGCAUGAUCUUUCCACCACAACUUUAAAGAAAACGUAAUUAGCGUUUAUGGAUAUGGUCAAGAAGAGAGUCAAAUCAGUUCACAUUUCAUUGAUCCCUUACCCAAACAAAUAAACAAAACAAAUCCCCAAGUUCAUUGCCAUUUGUUUACCAUUUACCACAUGUUUACUUUCAGAGCCAUAUAUAUGGCCAUAACCCAAUAACACAUUUGUUUUAUCUCCAGAAUCUUAAAAUAUUUUAUAUAGAGACAUAAGCUACUAAACUGUUUAAUUCUUUUUUUUUCCUUACUUGGAGCCCAGAAUAUCAGAUCCGACCAUGUUUACUUAUACAAUUUAACACGUAAUUAUAGUAUUUAAGAGAAUGCCUUAUUUUGCUCCCUUGCCCUGAUGUCUGGUCUGAGUUCUUUCAUGUUGGCAAUGUGUACUUAUAGAGUUUAACACGUAAUUAUAGUAUUGUUAGAAAAUGAAUUAUAAUACUCCUUUUGUAUACAAAUUCAUGAUGUUUAAGAUUUCUCACACAUAUUAAGAAACAAUAAAUACAUUUUUCUAAUUAUUCAUUUUUGGUUUUAUCAACAAAAUUUCAUUUCUCAAAUUCUCGUAAUUUUACUUUUUAAUUUAUUUUUUAGUUUUAAAAAUAAUACAUUAAUUAUAUUAUAAAACAUCAAUCUUUUGUAUACAAGAUAAAAAAGGUUAAACACAAGAAUCUUCAAAAACUAUCAACUUUUACUAACAUGUAAGUGGGGAACUAAACUAACCUUUGGGUGUUUCACAUUGGGAGGCAAGAAUGGAUACAUCAAUGUCUCAAAGUUUGAUCUCCACCACAUCCCAAUGCAUUCUCCUACCUGCAUUUUAUUACAGUUUUGUAGUAUUAUAGAGAGACCAUUCUCAAGCCAAAAACAAUCAGAACAGUACUGAGGACAAGAAUCCAUGGUUCUUACCUCCAACCCGGAACAAGAACAUUCUCGUUAACCAAAAGCUUUGACGCGAGUUUGCGUUUCAGGCCUUCAAUAUCUAAGAAGAAACCAGAUUUCAGCAAUUGAGAUUUGAGCACAGAUAAAGAGGUUACAGUAAGAGUAAAAGUAAAACUUGAUUCACCAAGUCUCAAACGACCACUAGGAAGCUUGAAGAUGGAGUUUCUAUACUGAAGAAGCAAUACAUGAGGAUGCUUGAACAAUUCAACCUGAUGUAUCCCAAACUACAUUUUCCCAUGUAGUUUCCGAUCUAGUUUCAACCCAAAUCAACCCGAACCAAUCCCUAGACAAACCAACACCAAUCUGUCGCUAACCAAUGAGAAUACGCUACCAAAACCCAUACUGAAAUCGGUAAGGUUCAUCAGAUUUCGUACCUGAAGCGAGGUGGCUGGACUGGUUCCAAGUUGGAUAUUAUGGAUCUUGAGGCUUCUUGUUUCAGAGAAAGAAUUCAAAGCCAGAAAAAAUAUAUGAAAAUGACGAAGGCGACAAGACAGACGAGAUGAAACAAGGGAGAAUUUGCGAGAUAUCUGAGAUUGCAAAAAAAAUUACAUGUCAUUGAUUUUAACAUAAUGUAAUAACUAACAUUUAUGCCAUUCUACCUUUUCUUCCUUUAAUUAUCCAGUGACUUUGUUUUGUUAGAGAUGAUGUGGUCAAAAAAAUAUGGUGAAUAAGAUACUUAAAUAUGAUGUCAACAAAAUAAGAUGUGGCUAAAAUUUAGUGCACACUAUUGACAACGACAAUGUCAAAGUCAUCUACAUCACUGUUUUUUUACCUUUAAUUAGUAAAUCUAUACUGUAAUCAGUAAAUUAUAAACCAAAUAUAAUCUAUAACUAUUUUACUAUAUAUUUAAAAUUUAUCAGCCAUAGUUAUGAAACAUACAUAUUAAAUCAUACCCACCCACUUAAAUAUUAAACCCCAGACAAACCCACUAGUUACUAAAUCUAAACCCAAAUAUAAUCUUAACCAUAUGUUGCGAGUGUACAAUUAUAUCUCAGUGACAUAGUACAACACCCAAGAUGCGGUAAGAACUAUACAUAAUAAACCCACCCAAGAUCGCUGACUACUAUACCCAAACCCUUACUUAGUAAAUCUAAACCCUAACCAGGAACCUAUAAACUCAAAUACAAUCUAUAAACUAUUUUUCAAUAUUAGACAAUCUAAACCCUAACAAGGAACCUAUAACAUGGCAAAUUAUUACAUAUUUAAGAAAUAGUAUAGAACUAUUGUCUCAAAUAGUAUAGAAAUAUUGUCACAAAUUGACUUUGUAAAUGCUUUAGAGAAGUUUUGAUCAUUACGAAUAAACCAAUAUAGUAUAUUACACUAAUAUAAGAGUUUAUAUGCUAUCUAACCAAAUUUGACUACUAUACCCACCCACUUAAAUAUUUAACCCUAGACAAACUCUCUAGUUACUAAAUCUAAACCCAAAUAACUUAACUAUAAACCCAAAUAGAAUCUAUAUAAUAUGCUGCCAAUUUUCUCAACGUAGACGGCAUAGUAUGAACCUUUAUAAAUAGUAUAGAAUGACUGACUCACACCCAACUUUAAAUAUUAAACUCUAAACAGUUAUCACUAAACCCAAGACUCAACCCUCACCUUUCAAAUACUAAACCCUAAAUCUUAAUCACAAAAUCCUAAACCAUACCACCCAUUUAAAUAUUAAACCCUAAACGAACUCCCUAGUUACUAAAAUCUAAACCCAAAUAUAAUCUUAACCAUAGGUUCUGAGUGUACAAUUCUAUCUCAGUGACAUAGUACAACACCCAAACUGCGGUAAGAACUAUACAUAAUUAAUCCACCCAAAAUUACUGACUACUAUACCUAAACCCCUACUUAGUAAAUCUAAACUCUAACCAGGAACCUAUAAACCCAAAUACAAUCUAUAAGUUGUUUUCUAAUAUUACACAAAUUAAACCCUAAUUAGGAACUUGUAACAUGGCAGAUUAUUACAUAUAUAAGAAAUAUGAUAGAACUAUUGUCUCAGGUAGUAUAGAAUUAUUGUCUCAAAUUGACUUUGUAAAUGCUUUAGAGAAGUUUUGAUCAUUGCGAAUAAACUAAUAUAGUAUAGAAUAUAGUAUAGUAUAGUACCCUAAUAUAAGGGUUUAUUUGCUCUCUAACCAAAUUUGGUUUUAAUCAUUACACAUAAACCAAUAUAGUAUGAAUUGCAUAUUACAACCAAUCACACAAAAUGACAGAGAAAAGAACUAUCAAAUUUGAAGACAUGACAAAUUAUUACAUUUUAGAGAAUAGUAUAGAAAUACGUCUCAAAUAGUAUGGUACAUGUAUAUAAAGCUACAUUAAAGAAUCGAUACUUAACUAUUUUUUUCAUCGAAUAUAGUAUAGACGGCGAGUUCAUCUUCUUCAAUUCAUUUUUUUUUCACAGGCUGAUACACAUUCACUUGAAUCGCCGUCAUUAUUCUUCACCACCAUAUAGAGAUCAUCUUCAUUUCCUCUCUCUUUUUCGACACGGCGACACUUUUACCGAUCCGCCGUCGUUAUUCUUCACCACUCUAUAUGUAAAGCAUCAUGGAUAUAACCCUGAUGCGAUAAUCUCAAUCUCAUUUGCAAGAUUCAAAAACGAAAACAAAGUAUGAAAGCAAAAACAUGAUUAUGAAACUAAAAAUCAAUGAUUUAAGAGAAAGAGAAAAAUAAAUGAAAGAGUUGGUGUGUCUACUCACCGUGUAUGCCUUAACAGUUGUCUCUUAUUUAUCACAAUUGGUUGUCCUUCUUGUGAGAAGAAAUCAAUUCCAGAAUAAAUCUGGGAAGAAGACUUUUAUCUUUUGCAAAGUCACCAAAAUAAAUUACAUAUGAAAGAAUGUGUUUUUCAAAGGGCCACAAGUUAUGUUUUAGUAUUAUUAUUAUUAAAUCAAUUUAUUUUUUUUCUUACAUGUUUCACCGGUUGCAUGUGAGGGGCAAUAUGUCAAUAUUUUAUAUAAGAGGCAAGUUGUAUAGAUGAGUUAGGGGUUUUAGAUAGUGAAUGAAUUAUAAUUUGUUUGAAGGUUAUAGAGCCCAAUUUCCCAUGAAAGAAGAGUAAAAGAUUUUAAAAAAAAAAUUAAAUUAUAGGAUAAGAUCCAUUUGUAUCGGGCUUGGGUGGGUAACCCAUAGUACUGUGGUUGGGUUGGUAAUUCUGAAGAUUCAUUAAGGGAUUUAUUGUAUUUAGAUGUGUUUUGGAUUUAAAAGAAAAUCAAAAGUUAAAUACUUUUAUAAGAGGGACAUAUUAGAUAUUUUUAAGAACACUUGGGGUAUAUGGAGUUAAAAGUUCAUUUCACAUAAUUUUACCUUUUAAUUUAUUUUUUAGUUUUAAAAAUAAUACAUUAAUUAUAUUAUAAAUGGAUGAUUGCAUAAAACCCCCUGUAAAUACCAUCACCCUAUCUAUUCCCACCUAUACUAUCAAGCUCUUUACCAAACCACUGAUGCUAAAGAAGAAGCAACUAUCAUGUUCGAGGACGAAGCAUAUUCUGCCCAAGAUCUUCAUCACCCACAGAUUUCAGAAAAUUGGAGAGGUCCAAGGGAUCUUCAGUAAUGUCCAAAUCAGGGGGAGUAAUGUGUAUUGUACUUUUUUUCCUUCACCAUGGUUUUGUCCCAAUUGGAUUUUCCUGGUAAUGUUUUAAUAAGGCAACAUUAAAGCACAUUACAAGCUCUAAAUGGUUAUGACAUCCAAUGGAGAGUGUUAUGAACCAGAUUGUGUAUUGCUCAUAACCAAGAGAUUAUGAUUUGUAAUCUUUCUAUUUAUCUAUGACGAUGUAAUUUUCUAUAUAACGAAUCUCUAUGUUAUGAAUAAAGAUAAACUUUUUCAUUAUUUUUAUAACAUAAUUUAAGUUUUAUGUUUGAUUUUGAGUUUAGAUGUCUCCAUCAUAACUUUUGUGAAAACCCUAAAAAGAGAAUCAGAUCUGGAUAAACCAAUUCUAUCUGAAUAUAAUUCUGGUUUUGGUUUACCUUCGGAUGCUGGUUUUUAAACAUCUUAAGAUCAUCUCUAGUUUUACAAAGUUAAUGGCUUCCCAUGAGUAAUGAGAACUAAUCAAAGCUAAUAUUUUAUUUUACAUGAUCCAUCAGUUAACAAAUUCAAAACUGACAACUUAUAUUUAAUAGUAACCAUGGAAGAUAAUAUAUCACUACCAUAAUUAUUUAUUUGUUGAUCUACUAAUUAAACAUUAAUCACUUCAUGAAACCUUGAGCCAUCUUAGCAUAGUCUCCUAACCCAUGGCUGCCACCUCCCGACUUCUCAUCCUCUUUCUUAACCGCCGGUCCUCCAGCUCCUCCUCCAUGGCUUCCGCUGACACCACCGUGACUGCCAGCACCGCCAGAGGAGUGAGAGUUGGAAGACUCGUACUUGUGGAGAAAAUUUUCAGCCUUUUCGAGGUACUGACCAACACCACUCUUUUCAUCAAGCUUGCCGUAUCUUUGAGCUGCGUCUAGUAUGUCGGCGGUGGCUCCGGCGACUUUAGCUUUGUCGAGUUUGUCUGUCUCGUUGCGAGAAGCGGCUUGAGCAGCCUCCGCUACGAUCUUGGCGCUAGCCAUGAGCUCGGCGUUUGUAGCUGGCUUAUGCAUUGUUGGAUCGGAGCUGGAAGCAGGUUUAUGUGUUGGAACGGUGUGGCCCGGUUUGUUAUUGUUGUGGUUCGGGUCAGGGUCUGAAGUUUCCGGUUUCUUGUCGGAGAAUUUCUUCUUUACUUGGUCGGUGAGGAAAUCCAUGUUUCUUGUCUCGUCUCAGACGAAAAAAGGUUGUUUUAGUUGAUCUUGAGUUUGGAAAAUGUAAAGUAACAAGUUAUUCGGGGAUGGUAUUUAUUGAAAGUGAGAAAGAUUAAUACUUUAUUC
rnacentral:lncRNA from 1 species